rnacentral:lncRNA from 1 species
GUGGAGGUGGGCAACUCACAGAGGCCGUGAGGCGGAGGCCUUACUGUGUUGUAUUGUUUGAUGAAGUGGAGAAGGCUCACACUGCCGUUCUCAACACUCUCCUCCAAGUCUUGGAUGGAAGACUAACUGAUGGACAAGGCCGUACAGUCGAUUUCAGAAACACGGUGAUCAUCAUGACUUCGAAUUUGGGGGCAGAACAUCUCCUCUCCGGUUUGAUGGGCAAGUGUUCGAUGGAGGUUGCGCGCGAUCUAGUUGUGCAUGAGGUAUCAUCUUUGGUUACCCUAAUUCUGAAUUACCGUGCUUCGCUUGGUUCUUUGAAUACUUUAACAAGUUUGGUUCUUGAAUAGGUGAGAAAGCACUUUAGGCCUGAGCUGCUGCAUCGUCUCGAUGAGAUUGUUGUGUUCGAUCCUCUUUCUCGCAAUCAACUGAGGAAGUUUGCCAGAUUGCAAAUGAAAGAUGUUGCAGUCCGACUGGCUGAGAGGGGCGUCGCGUUGGAAGUUACAGACGCAGCAUUGGAUUACAUUCUAGACGAAAGUUAUGAUCCCGUAAGUAUCAGUUUCGCGAAUCCAAAACCUUUUCUUCUGCUUUACUCCUGUAUGAUAUGUAAUACUAACCAAGUACUCCAUUUCCCUUUCCAGGUUUACGGUGAUAGACCUGUUCGGAAAUGGCUCGAGAAGAGCGUGGUGACAGAGUUGUCGCGGAUGCUUGUGCGAGAAGAAAUAGAUGAAAACUCGACCGUGUACAUAGAUGUACCGGCGGAACCCAGGCUGGUGUAUCGGGUUGAGAAGAACGGAGGACUUGCCAAUGCGGCAAGGUGGUAGAAGUCAGAUGUGUUGAUCCAGAUUUCAAAUGCCAACGGGGCCAAGGUCUGAUGCAGAACAGGCUGUUAAGAAGAUGGAAGAUUGAGGAAAUAGAUGAAGACUAGAUAGUAAUGCCCGCACAUUGUUGCGGGAUUAAAAAUAAAAGUCACUAUAGAUGAAAUUAAUAAAUUGUAAUAGUUUAAAUAAGAACAAUAGUUGAUGUUGGAGAGUUGACCUUUUGUAAUUAGUUUAGUUACCUAUUUGAGUCCUUAUAGUUAUUUGAUGUUUCUUUUCUUAUAAAUCACUCUUGUACAUUAUAUAUUUUCCUCCUUGGUGAGAAGAAUAAUAUCAGAAAAUUAAAUCCCAAAAUAAGCCCUAAUUAGUAUGGUAUCAGAGCAAGGAUCCUAGGAUUUCUGCUCUGCCCGUUCCCUCAAGUAAACUCAACCCUCCCAUGAAGAACCUACCACCACUCUACGGUGGAAACAAUUUCAUCGUAACCGAUCCUACCCUUAUACUAAACACUACUACCCUAACUAACCCUACCAUGAAUCCUCCUCUUGCUUCGAGUUCUUCCGACAUGCCUUCGGAGUCCUCAUGUAACUAUGGUUAUGCUUUUAAUAUGAAUAACUGUGAUACUUAGUCUGGUUGGAUCAUUGACUCCGGUGCCACAAACCAUAUGACUUAUGACCCCACUGAUUUAGCUUGUGAUACCGUUCCUCUUCGAUGAAAUAUUACUAAUGCUAAUGAUGUCAUCUCACCGGUAACUGUGUUGGCACUGUACGCCUCACGCUUACCCUUUCUUUGCCGAAUACACUACUUGUACCUUCACUAAAGCAUAAAUUGAUGUCUUAUGGCCAAGUUAUUGAGCAAUUGAAAUGUUGUGUACUAUUGUAUCCGAAGUUUUGUCUUAUUCAGGAUAUUCUCACGAAGAAGAUAAUUGGUCGUGGUACUAAGAUGGGGGAUCUCUAUUUUGUGGACGAUGUUAGUACCGGACGGGUCAAUCUCGCCUAAGGAGCCGUUGAUCACAAACAGCGUCAGAUAUGGUUAUGGCAUCACCGUUUAGAUCAUCUGUCUUUCAGUUAUUUACAACAUAUGUUUCCGGAUUUAUUUAUUGGUUGUUCGGUUUAAGACUUUAAAGGUGACACUUGCGUACUUGCCAAGAGUCACCGUGUUUCUUAUUCGUUGAAUUCCCAUAGCAGUGCUAUUCCUUUUGGUCUUGUUCAUUUGGAUGUUUGGAGACCAUCUCUAAUUACUACUUCAUCUGGUAUUAGGUCGUUUGUAACUUUCAUAGAUGAUUGCACACAGAUGACAUGGUUAUACUUUCUGAAGCAUAAAAAUGAUGUGUUAUGGCGUUUAAGACAUUCCACACCAUGGUUCAGACAUAGUUUUCUACUAGAAUCCGGAUUUUGCGUUUUGAUAAUGGGGGUGAGUAUGUUAAUAAUGAUUUUACACAUUAUUUAACUAAUCACAGAAUCCUCCACGAGACUACUUGUCCUCAGACUCCUCAAUAGAAUGGGGUGGCUGAGCGCAAAAAUCGCCAUCUAUUAGAAACGGCUUGAUCGUUAUUGAUUGGGGCGUAUGUUCCCCGCUCUUUUUGGGAUGUUGCUCUUCAGAUUGCCACUUACCUUAUCAAUCGCAUGCCAUCAAAAGUAUUGAAUUUUCUUACACCUUUGCAAGUUCUUGCUACAUUCGUGCCUCUCCUGUCUGUUUUUGGAUAUGUUGCCUUUGUUCAUCUACAUAAAAAUCAACGGACAAAACUUGACCCAUGCGCUAUCCGUUGCGUUUUCAUGGGGUAUGAAAUACAUCAAAAAGGGUACCGUUGCUACCAUCCUCCUUCACUUCAGAUGUACUACCAUGGAUGUUACUUUUUCUGAGUUUGAGAUGUAUUACUCUUCGACUUCUUCCAACCCUCAUCUUCAGGGGGAGACAUUGCAUGACAAGCAGGUUUGGACCAUGGCUACUACCACUGAUCUUUCGUUGCCACUAGUUGAGCCAGUAGCCGAGUCCGCAGUGGCUACGCUACUAACCCGGCCAACAGAAGCAGCAUUGCUGCCCACAGAACUAGCUGCAGGCAUGACAGUGCCGUCCUCACCCACGGCAACAGUGUUGCCACUUGCCGAUCUUGAGACUUCUACUAAUACUACUCCCUCAUCGUCUCAAAAUAUAGUACCACCAGAUGACCAUAAUCCAGAGAAUAUUCCUGAGGUAAGAUCUAUUAUGCCUAUUAAUGUAUCCGAUGUUUCGAAUUAUUAGUUACCUUUCAGGCACAAUCGGGGAAAGCCACCUAAUCGAUAUUCACCGGAAACAACGAAAGGUUCUAAGUAUCCCAUUGCCAAUUAUGUGUCAUCACAUUAAUUAUCAGAACUCGGCAAAACUUUUGUACAACAAAUAUCCAAUAAUAGCACACCAAGUUCAUUGAAGGAGGCACUAUUUGAAGAUCGAUGGACCAAGGCAAUAGAGGAAGAAAUGGAUGCACUUUAGAAAAAUCAAACAUGGGAUUUAGUUCUGCUACCCCGAGAAAAGAAGAGAGUGGGAUGUUGAUGGGUGUACACCAUCAAGUACAAAGCUGAUGGGUCGAUUGAACGAUACAAAGCACGAUUGGUGGCCAAGGGAUACACUCAAAUGUAUGAUGUGGAUUAUACAGAAACAUUUGCUCCAGUAGCAAAGAAUAUUACGGUACAAGUGUUACUUUCAUUGGCGGCUAACUUGGAUUGGCCAUUACAGCAAUUUGAUGUGAAAAAUGCUUUCUUACAUGGUAAUCUUAAAGAAGAAGUGUAUAUGGAUAUUCCACCUGGUUAUGCAUCAGUUUCACAACUCGGAAUGGUGUGUAAGUUGAAUAAGGCAUUGUAUGAAUUGAAACAAUCACCUUGAGCAUGGUUUGGUAGUUUCUGGAUGGCUAUGAAGAAGUAUGGGUUCAGGCAAAGUAAUUUCGAUCAUACACUUUUCUUGAAACGUCCAAUGGGUAAAUUGACGGUGCUUAUUAUUUAUGUGGAUGAUAUGAUUGUUAUGGGUGAUGAUAAAGAAGAAAUCUCAAGGCUAAAAGAUUACUUAGCAACUGAGUUCGAGAUGAAAGAUCUUGGUGGAUUAAAAUAUUUCUUGGGUAUAGAAGUAGCUCGAUCUAAACAAGGAUAUUUCUAUCUCCAAGAAAAUAUGUUCUUGACUUUGUUAGCCGAAACCGGAAUGCUCGAUUGUAAACCGGUUGACACCCCUAUAGUCCAAAAUCACCAUCUUGCUGUGCACCAUGAUCAAGUUCCCACUAACCGAGAUCGUUAUCAAAGGUUAGUUGGAAGGUUAAUUUAUUUAUCUCAUACCAGGCUUGAUAUUGCAUAUGCAGUAAGUGUUGUUAGUCAAUUUAUGCAUUCCCCAAGUGAUACACAUAUGGGUGUGGUUGAACGCAUCUUAUGAUACCUGAAGUCCUCACCAGGUAGAGGCAUCAUGUUUUCCAAGAAUGAUCAUUGCCAAAUGGAGGGUUACACCGAUGCAGAUUGGGCAGGCAAUGUUACUGAUCGUCGGUCCACAUCUGGUUACUUUACAUUUGUGGGAGGAAACUUAGUAACUUGGCAGAGUAAGAAACAGAAAGUGGUUGCUUUAUCAAGUGCAGAGGCGGAAUACAGGGGUAUGGCAAAAGGAGUAUGUGAACUAUUAUGGCUUCGAAGGUUACUUGGUGAACUCGGGUAUCUUUCGAAUUUAGCCUUAGAUUUAUUUUGUGAUAAUAAAGCAGCUAUUGAUAUCUCACAUAACCCAAUUCAACAUGAUCACACAAAACACGUGGAAGUUGACAGACACUUCAUUAAGGAGAAGUUGGAUGGGAAUAUUAUUCAAUUCCCGUUCGUAAAGUCAGAGGAUCAAUUGGCGGAUAUCUUAAUUAAAGCUGUUGCAAGUCAAGCGUUCUGCAACUCUCUUGUCAAGUUGGGCAUGAACGACAUUUAUGUAUCAACAUGAGGGGGAGUGUUGGAGAGUUGUGUAGACAUCGAAAUUUCGUAAAUAAAUGUUGACCGGUAAAUCAAAGUGUCAACGCUCAUGUAUUACAUAAAUUUUACACGUAGCGUGUGACUCAACGAAAAUUGAAAUGAGUUGGAAAAGUCAUCAAAUAGGACACGUGUCAACACCUGGCAGAAACGACUUAUUUCAUCUGGGAUAUUAUAUUCAAAAUUAGGCCUUGGAAAAUUCUAUAAAUACAAGCCCAUUUCAUUCAUUUUGAAAAAAACCAAUUCAUAUUACACCUUGAAGCUCUGAAGCUCUGAAACUCCGAAGCUCUCAAGCAUCCAGGUUCCCGAAGAAUCAAGAAAGUGUUCUUCGUUCUUCGUUCAUCGUUCAUCCUAAGAUCAAGCCCCAACGGCCCUUUGGAUCAACAAUCAUCCACCAAUUCAAGAUCAAGCCCCAACGGCCCUUGAAGAACUUCCACCAAUUCAAGAUCAAGCCCCGACGGCCCUUGAAGAAAGCAUCAUCGUUCAUCAUCCGUUCAUCCAAGAUCAAGCCCCAACGGCCCUUUGGAUCAACAAACAUCGACAAAUCCACACACAUCCAACCGUUAUUCAAGAUUAAGCCCAAAAGCCCUUGAAGAUCUGUUCAUCACUGUUCUUCAAGAUCAAGCCCAAAAGCCCUUGAAGAUCCGUUCAUCACUGUUCUUCAAGAUCAAGCCCCAACGGCUCAUUGAAGAUCCGCUCAAAUCCACCUUCAAAGAUCAAGCCCACGACCCUUUGAAGAAACUUCAAACAGUUCAUCCAAGAUCAAGCAUCAACGGCCCUUGGAUCAACGAAACACCCACCAAUCAACACCUGACGGAGAUCGAAUCAGAGGAUCAAAAUAGAGAGAGAUUGUAACCCAAAAUCAUCAAAUACAUAAUAUUUGUUUGUGCACGUUCGUUCUUGUCUCUUUCGUUUCAGGAAUUUUCUGUGUUCACAAAUUGGCAAGCCCGGUGGGACAAUCUCUACCUCUCAUCUCUUUCUCCGUUCAAAUUCGAGCACACUUCCAAAAUUAAUGGCAUCAAGGAAGGCUCAAACUGUUCCCGCAACUGGCGCAAAGAACAAGAGCGUCCUCGUCGCAAGUGGUGUCACUUUAGGCAUCACGACUCGAAGCAUGGCAAGAGCUACUUCUGCCGCCUCUUUCACCUCUGCAUCAACUCUGCCAAGGGAACAAAAGCACCCAAGGCACGAGCCUUUGAUCACCUUAGCCUCACUAAGGGCACCAAGGGGGGAAAGCCCAAGGAAAUACUCCGAAUCCAUGCUCUCCGAUGACGAUUCAAGCGACAGUUCAGCCAUGCAAGUCAUGACCAUUGGAGCAACUUCAAUCGAUGAGCAGCUGGCUCAAAUGAAUGAAGCAAUUGCAAGGCUAACCCGAACUGUGGGAGAAAAAGACUUGCAAAUUGCAGCACUAGUCAACCGAUUGGAGGCACAAGACGGCGAUAAACCCAACCCAGAGGAUGAUCCACUAAAGGGAGGAGCUGGCGGAGACGAAGAACCCCCGGUGAAGAAAAUCGAUGGGAAGCCGGAGCCAGACCAAGCAGCGGCACUCAUGGGAUCUCUUUCUAUCCAGCAGCUGCAUGAGAUGAUCACCAACACCAUCAAGGCACAGUACGAAGGGAGCUCACAUACCUCCUUGUUCUACUCGAAGCCCUACUCCAAGAAGAUUGAUGCCCUGAAGAUGCCAAGGGGUUAUCAACCACCAAAGUUCAUGCAGUUUGAUGGAAAAGGAAACCCGAAACAGCACGUUGCCCACUUCGUUGAAACUUGCAACAACGCGGGGACGGAGGGAGACUACCUCGCCAAGCAGUUUGUGCGCUCGCUGAAAGGAAAUGCCUUUGAGUGGUACACGGACCUAGAGCCCGAGUCCAUCAACAGCUGGGAGCAAUUAGAGCGGGAAUUCCUCAACCGCUUCUAUAGCACCCGCCGCACUGUGAGCAUGCUAGAGCUGACGAGCACGAAGCAAUGGAAGGAAGAACCAGUCAUGGACUACAUCAACCGAUGGCGUAAUCUAAGCCUCGACUGUAAGGACAGACUCUCCGAGAUUUCUUCAAUAGAGAUGUGCAUCCAAGGCAUGCAAUGGGGUUUGCAAUACAUCCUUCAAGGCAUUAAACCGCGGACCUUCGAGGAAUUGGCUACUCGCGCCCAUGACAUGGAGUUGAGCAUCGCCCAUCAUGGGAAGAAAGAACCGAUCACCGACUACAAGAACGACAAAGUUCUUGGGACAAAGGUGGAAAAGGCCACAUGGAAACCCACCAAGGAAGCGAUGACGGUCAACACAGCUCCCGUCAAAAUCUCCACACGAGGCAAGGCGAUUCAAACCGAAGCUUUUCGUGAUCAAGAGAUGCGUAGACGCACUUUGAAGGAGCUUGAGGAGAAGAUUUAUCCAUUCCCCGACUCUGAUGUAGUUGUCAUGCUGGAUGACCUGUUGGACAAGAAGGUGAUCAGUUUGCCUGAGUGCAGACGGCCGGAAGAGAUGAAUCGUACCGACAACCCAAGGUACUGUAAAUUCCACCGCUUCAUCAGUCAUCCAACGGAAAAGUGCUUUGUACUGAAAGAUCUCAUCCUGAAGCUAGCACAGCAAGGGGAAAUCGAGCUUGACCUCGAAGACACGGUGGCGGCACACACUACUACUAUCGUGUUUGAAUCAUUCGAUCAUGUGCAUCUCCGAAGCAUGCAUGAUCAUUCCCAUCAAUGUUCAAGUCACAUGGCACCUCCUACACAACCAUCACCGGGGGCAAGCAACCAAGAUGCAUCUACUGGUGAUAAGAAAUGGCGGACAUCGGUGACCUACAAAAAAAACGAGGAAGCCAAGACCACAAGCCACAAGGCCAGAAGAGGAGCCUAAACCAGCCCCUCGAACUUCAGUCUUCGAAAGACUGAAUUAUUCAAAACCUAGAAUUGCAGCACUUGAUCGCAUCAAUGGUCGAGACCAAACUUCUGUCUUCAAAAGGCUUGAGACGCCAACACCGCAAAGAUCAGUCUUUGAAAGGUUAUCAAAGCCCAAGAAACAAAGCGGCACAGCUAGAUCUCCUCCGCAACGGUCGGCUUUGGACAGACUUGAAGAAACUAAGAAGCCUUCUAGAAACAGGAAGACAACGCCAAAGGGAGAGAAGCUCGACAGUCUAGCAGGAAAAAACGAUGUUCAAAGCUUGAUUCCUUCAAGGAUGAAGCGCCAAGCAACUUUGGAAGUCGACACAAAAGGACCACUGAAGGUAAGGAGGCGCACCAUCAUCUACACUGGCCAAUCUUCACGGCAACAAACCCAAGAGGACCGCACUGAAGAGAAGGCCCGAGAAGACAAAGAAGACGAAAUCCUGGAAGAAGACGUCACUUCCGGCUCUGUCAACUCAAAAUCUUCACCUCAAUCGUUGGGGGCAUGCUCCAAAAACAUGCCAGUCAAGCCGAGUGAAGUUGAAGGAUGGACUUAUGUCACUCCGAAGAAAUUGCACAAAAAGCAUAUGUCUUCUCCACAAGCUCACAAAUGGGAAAGGGGGCAAAACAGCUCAUGUUCACCUCUAGAACAAUGUGAAAGUGUUGGAGAUAAUGAAACUUUGACGCGAAGAUCAUCCAUCCCCAUCACGAUGUGUGACAUCUUCCCAGAAGACUUCUUCAACUACUCAGUCAAGGCUCCUUGCUAUGAAGAUUGCGAGGAACUUCUCUCUCAGAUCGCUUGACGAACCAAAGCUCCUUGUCCGCACGAGCCUAAACUGUAGGACACAAAGCUCCUUGUCCGCACGAGCCUAAACUGUAGGACACUAGGCUCCUCGCCUGCACGAGCCUAAACUGCAUGACACUAAGCUCCUUGUUCGCACGAGCCUAAACUGCACGAACCAACGCUCCUGGUCUGCACGAGCAUAAAAGGCAACACCAACGCUCCUUGCCUGCACGAGCUAAAACGGCAACACGGCACCAAAUGCUCCUUGUCUGCACGAGUUGAAACUGCAAACGACACCAACGCUCAUUGCCUGCACGAGCUGAAACUGCAAACGGCACAAAAAAAGAAAAUACCAAAAAAAAAUAUAUAUAUAUGUAUGUAUUUGAACUACGUUUUGACUUGAUCUCUUUCUUUGGAAUGGUACGUAGGCAGCUUGAAUAUUCAAUUACAAGUUCAGUCAUAUCAAAAUAAAAAAAUAAGUGUUUUAUUAAAUAGAGUCAAUUUUAUUACAAAAAAAAUAAAAAUGAAUACAUAUGUUAUUAUGUAUUUACCAAAACAAAAAAAAAAACAAAAACAAAAACAAAAAAAAAAAAAGGGAAAAGGAAUAUACAAGUAUUAUAUAUAUAUAUAUAUAUGUGUGUGUAUAUAUAUGCGUAUACAUAACUCAAAAGCCGGGCCCUCGUCAGCGACCCAUCCUCAUUAGUGUCUCAGCCUAGGAGUAAAAGGGCUCAAGCCACAAUGGGCCCAAACUCCAGCUUGUCUUCUUCCCCAUUUCUUCUCGGCCUACAGUGCGGCCUAGCAGCUCUCUCUCUCCUCCUCCUCACUCGUCUUCUCUCAUCGGAUUAUUAUCCAAUCCCAAUCGCCAUUACCAUCUCAGUCCCACUUCCACCGGAAACCAGGAAGAUAAUGGUGGCAUUGAAGCGCGUCGUCGACUACGCCGUCAAAAUCCGAGUCAAACCGGACAAGAGCGGCGUGGAAACCCAGAACGUGAAGAUGUCGAUGAACCCCUUCUGCGAGAUUGCUUUGGAAGAGGCCCUCUGGAUUAAAGAGUCCGGGAUGGCAUCGGAGGUGGUGGCUGUGUCCAUGGGACUAAAACAGUGCGUGGAUACGCUCAGGACAGGAUUGGCUAUGGUGCGCACACCCGGAGCAGCCAAACCGUAAGCCCAGCAACCAGGCCCGGUUCUCUCCUCUGAUGGCACUAUCUUUUGAUUCUUGGCAAAAUUUCGGAGGUUGAGGAAUUCUCAAAGUUAUUGUGUUUAAGACCAGAAGUCUGAUUGUUCAGCCUGAAUCCAUCUUCAGCAGAAAGCAGCUUAGAAUGGUUGGCCAUUAAAUCUUCCCGGAUUUCAGGUUCUUGAAUCUCCCUACCAUUUCGUGAGGCGGCAUCUGUUUUAGCAAUCAUCUAUUCUUCAGGAAUUCCCUUAACACGGUCCGGCUCAUCUCCACCGAUGUGGUUUUCGACCCUUGGCACCUUCCCCACCGUCGCAAAACAGCUCUUUGACCUCACCAUUCCCGGCCGGCAGCCACCCAGUAUCUCCCUCCCCUGCGAAUCCUUAGUCCGCCGCAACAGUUGCUUCGUCGCGGAUAUAAGACAUUCUGUCGGCUUCGCCGGAGGACUCGACAUCCGGAACUCCUCGCAGAAGCUGACGUGCCGCUUCAUCGCCUCCUCCGUGUUGAUCUUCCUCGACGACCUCGAGUUCUCGUCCUCGAUCGCCUCAGCGCAGAGCCCGCAAAUCCACUGGUCCUGGUGCCUCUCCUUCACCGUCGCUACGUAUGCCGGCGUGCACUCCUCCGUCAAACCGCAGCAGUAGCACUUCACCUCCGACCGGGCCAUGAGCAUGCGCUUCUCACGUGACUGCGACGCCUGCGAAUGUGCCUAAAUCGGCAUCGGACUCCAUGACCCGAUCUGACUUCCACCCGUGCCUCAUAGCCACCUCGACCUGCAGGCUGUGAACUACCAGCAGCAGUAGAUGAUGAUACCGCCACAGCAACAGGGCCAAGCCCCUCCGGCUUAGGCUGGGUGGGGCCAGCACGUGCAUCAGCAGUACGCGACCACACAUAAUCUUGGCUCCGAUGAGAUCUGCUCCCUCUGGAUUGGUGACUUGCUGCGUCCAAACCUGCAAGUCCCUGAGCUUCACGCCUGUUCUCCCGGAUUUUCUGACCGCAGCGGAUCCCGUCAUCCUCCAUGCUGCCCCCUCGACUUCGUCCUCCCCUGCAAGUUCUUCCUCCCAUCACCAGAAUUUAUAUAAAAAAAUAUAUAUUAAAAGAAUGAAAGUGGCAGCCACCACUAAAAAAAAAUAUAUAUAUAUAUAUAUUUAUAUAAAAAAUAAAAAUAAAAAAUAAAAAAUAAAAAAAAAAAGGAAAAUGGUGGUGGUCACCACCGAAAACAAAGAAAAAAAAUAAUAAUAAAAAAAUAAUAUAAUAAUAUAUAUACAUAUGGAUGGUGCAUCUGGCACCAUGUGCCAGCCAAAAAAAAAAAAAAAGAAAAAGAAAAAAUUGUGUGAUAGUGGUAGUGCCAGCACCAAAAGAAAAAGAAAAAAUAAAUAAAUAAAAUAAUAAUAAUAAUAAUAAAUUGCAUAGAGAGAAAUAGAAGGUUUAUUUUAUUUAUUUUUCUGGAAAUUUUACAUAAAUUUGCAUUAUACAUACCUUUUAAAAAAAAAAAAUCAAAUCAAAUCAAAUUUACAAGAGGGGAUCUUCAAGGACGAUCAGGUGGCGCUUCAGUACUCGGCAGAACCCCAGGAGAAUGAGGCACUGAAGGUUGAUCAUUUAAGGCUUCAUUACGCGGUACAGCCCUAGAAGAAGAAGGCAAAUGCUGCUGGAACAAACCCACAAACCUCUGAUGAUCAAGUAAAAUCUGACCAUCAGAUUCCUGCAUCUGGUCAAUCUUCCUCUUCAUGUUUGUGGCAUAGUUAUGUGCAAGCUUGUGCAACUGUUUAUUCUCAUGCUUGAGCCCUCUAAUCUCCUGUUUGAGACUCAUCACUUCAACCGCCAACGAUUCAACUUGACGGGUCCGAGCAAAUAGGCGUUGGGCCAUGUUGGACACAGAACCCGCACACUGCACACUAAGGGCCAGAGACUCCUUAACAGCCAACUCAUCAGACCGCUUGGAAAGCAGUCUACUAUCUUUGGGAGUGACAAGGUUCCGGGCCACCACCGCAGCGGUCAUAUCAUUCUUCAUCACCGAAUCCCCAACGGUAAGAGGACCUGUAGGGGAUAUGAAUGAUGGGCGCCAUAUGUUGUCGGGAGAGGGCGGGACUGCCUUUUCACCAAGGUUCAAAUCGAAACGACGAUCGGAGGGUCCAGACAUUUUCAAAGGUGUCGAAGAAAGAAGAGGUCAGACAGAUCAAGAUCUUAGAAGUGCAUGAAGGGAGUUUCUGCAAGCGAAAAUUCAAGUGUGCUUUGUAACGAACUGCGUGCCUCUAUAAAAAAAUCAGCACUCAACGGGAUUUCGGAGAUCGAAGGGGCAAGCUCAGAAUUCGAAGACGCCAAUUCAAAAAUCGAAGAGGCAAGCUCAAAAAUCGGAGAGGCAUCUUGCUUUUCCAGACGCGUCAGCACCCAUCACACGCAAACUCAGCUUUGCGGAAAUCACGGGUGAUUUGUCGAAGCGCCGAUCCCAGAUAUCGAAGAGACACCAGUCUUUUCCAAACACGUCAGUACCCAUCACACGCAAACUCAGCUUUGCGCAAAUCACGGGCAAUUUGUCGAAGAUUUUCGGUGAAGGAGAAAGCACGUGAAAGUUUACUGUUCAAUCACGCGUUAGUUGCCGACACAAGUGAAAGAAUAGUACCUCUACAGGUAUUAAGGGACCUCCUAUAACUGUCCACCUUCACCUUCCGUAGCAGGACAGACAUACAGAGCCUCUCUUCAUCUCCAAAAAUGCUUUCCCAACGAAACCUCUCGAGUCAUUCAGUGUUCCUUAUUCCUUGGGGUACCUCUGCAAGCCAAUGACUCCAAAAGCAAAAGUAUCUCAUAUCACCAGGGUAGAAAGCAAGAGUAUCUCAUAUCAUGCGUUCUCCCUAUCAUUUCCUUUGUCCUUGUUCUUACCUACAAAGACAAGGAUAAAGAAAACAAUAUGCCGGAACUUCCACUCAAACUCGGGUAAGGAACCGACUGCUUGGAACCCUUCCCUGAUUGCCUACUUAGCACUGCUCUCGAGUACUCGCCUUCGACUGCUGCUAUACUUUCAAAGAAGCUGCCACAUCUGCCUGGAGGACAGAUAAGGCAAGUGAAAAGGAUACCUUGCAGCAUGUGGAGACAAGGUGCAGAAGGAACAAGCAGAGAAGAAUGCGGUUUGCACGGUCAACUCAGCAGAAGGAGUCUGAACUGAGGAACUCGAGAAGCUGCCACAUCUGCCUGAAGAAACAAGCAGAGAAGAAUGCAGCAUGCACAGUCACCACCCUCAAAUUCGAGAAGAUGCCGCAUCUGCCUGAGGACGGUGAACUCGUUUUGACCCUCAAAUUCUUGGGUCGACUUACUAGGCGUUGUGGGCUGCACGUGCCGAUUCACCACCCUUGAAUCAAAUCCUUAAAGACCAAGUCACCAACUGGAAGAAGAGCCCAUCAAUCUUGAAGAUCAUACCGUUGACCAAACUGUUCAGGUGUGAAUUAGAAAGAUUGAACAAAGCAACAAGUCGUCACCUUCACCUCGUGCCUGCUUGCCAUGUGUUCGAGUCAGCCUUCAAGAAUCAAGCCCCAAUGGCCCUUGAAGAAACUUCCAGCCAAAUUCAAAAUCAAGCCUCGACGGCCCUGGAAGAAAUCACAAGUCCGAUUCAAGAUUAAGUGUCUACCACCCUUGAAUCAAAACCUAGUUCAAGAAUAAGCUGUGGAAAAUCAACAAUUGAAGGAAUCCAGAAAAUCCUUCAACCCAGUUCAAGAUCAAAGCUGUGGAAAGUCAACAAGCGCAACAAAAUACGUGCCGAUUCACCCACUACCAAAGCUGAAGAUCAUCUACCACAUGAAGCUCCUUGUGGUCCAAUUUCAACCUUCAAGAUCAAGCCUCGACGACCCUUGAAGAAAUUUCAAACAAAAAGUUCAAGAACAAGCCUCAACGGGCCUUGAAGAAAUCUCAAGCCCAAUUCAAGAUCAAGCCUCAACGGCCCUUGAAACAAUCCAGCCCAAUUCAAGAUCGAGCCUCGAUGGCCCGUGGAUCGACAUCUACAGUAAGGGACUUCAAAACGCAUCUCCUACACGUGACAAGCACAUGUAUACGACGUGCCUUGAAGUGGGGGCAUUUGUAGACAUCGAAAUUUCGUAAAUAAAUGUUGACUGGUAAAUCAAAGUGUCAACGCUCAUGUAUUACAUAAAUUUUACACGUAGCGUGUGACUCAACGAAAAUUGAAAUGAGUUGGAAAAGUCAUCAAAUAGGACACGUGUCAACACCUGGCAGAAACGACUUAUUUCAUCUGGGAUAUUAUAUUCAAAAUUAGGCCUUGGAAAAUUCUAUAAAUACAAGCCCAUUUCAUUCAUUUUGAAAAAAACCAAUUCAUAUUACACCUUGAAGCUCUGAAGCUCUGAAACUCCGAAGCUCUCAAGCAUCCAGGUUCCCGAAGAAUCAAGAAAGUGUUCUUCGUUCUUCGUUCAUCGUUCAUCCUAAGAUCAAGCCCCAACGGCCCUUUGGAUCAACAAUCAUCCACCAAUUCAAGAUCAAGCCCCAACGGCCCUUGAAGAACUUCCACCAAUUCAAGAUCAAGCCCCGACGGCCCUUGAAGAAAGCAUCAUCGUUCAUCAUCCGUUCAUCCAAGAUCAAGCCCCAACGGCCCUUUGGAUCAACAAACAUCGACAAAUCCACACACAUCCAACCGUUCUUCAAGAUUAAGCCCAAAAGCCCUUGAAGAUCUGUUCAUCACUGUUCUUCAAGAUCAAGCCCAAAAGCCCUUGAAGAUCCGUUCAUCACUGUUCUUCAAGAUCAAGCCCCAACGGCUCAUUGAAGAUCCGCUCAAAUCCACCUUCAAAGAUCAAGCCCACGACCCUUUGAAGAAACUUCAAACAGUUCAUCCAAGAUCAAGCAUCAACGGCCCUUGGAUCAACGAAACACCCACCAAUUAACACCUGACGGAGAUCGAAUCAGAGGAUCAAAAUAGAGAGAGAUUGUAACCCAAAAUCAUCAAAUACAUAAUAUUUGUUUGUGCACGUUCGUUCUUGUCUCUUUCGUUUCAGGAAUUUUCCGUGUUCACAAGUUGACCUUUUGUAAUUAGUUUAGUUACCUAUUUGAGUCCUUGUAAUCAAAUUGUAAUUAGGUUAUUUGAUGUUUCUUUCCUUGUAAAUCACUCUUGUACAUUAUAUAUUUUCCUCCUUGGUAAAAAGAAUAAUAUCAGAAAAUUAAACCCCAAAAUAAGCCCUAAUUAGCAGUUGAAACCAUAGUCAAUUUCCUAGCAUUUCCUUUCUAAAAUGAAACAAAAGGGUGUAGAAAGAUGGAUCAAAUACACCUGACUUGGUGUCUUGUAGGUCAUCACCUCCAUCUUUUCCUUUCAAGGGAAAACGUUGCGACCAUUGUAUAUACAAGGGCUUUCUCCUUUUGAACUGUUCUAAACGCAUGCCUAAUUACUUGAUGGUUCACUGAGAGGUUUAAGAUGGAUAUCUAAAAGUAUAAAUAGAUUACCAAAGAUAUAAUCUUUCCACGUGCCUCAACUGAGCCAAAGAACAUGUUAAUAAUAUGGAAAUUGUUAAAUCUAAUUAAUGAGUGUCGGAAAUGGUCUACAGAUAGAUUUAAUAAUUUUCAUAUCGCUAAGAUGUUGUGGAGAGUUGACAUUGUGGGCAUGUUGACUUACACUUUGGAUGUCCAACUUAACCCUUGAAUGGGCAAACAAGUAAUUGUUCAUAUAUUCAGAUCAGGUAAAGAGAAGAUAAAAUGUGUGUAUAUAUACAUAUCCAUAUAUAUUAAAAUGUGUGUAUAUAUACAUAUACAUACAUACAUAUAUAUAUAUAUAUAUAUAUAUUGGUGGUAGCCAAUUCCCUUUGAAUGGGCAAACAAGUAAUUGUUCAUGUAUUCAGAUCAGGUAAAGAGAAGAUAAAAUGUGUGUGUGUAUAUAUAUAUAUAUAUAUAUAUAUAUAUAUAAUAUAUAUUGGUGGCAGCCAAUUCCCUUGAAGGGAAAGGUUACUAGAACGAUUGUAAAAAAACUUUAAACACACAACCUAAAAAUGAAUUUUUGAAAUCUAGAGUAGGAUAAAUCACUAUUCAUGCAUAUGUUGCAGCUUGAUUCCUCGGAUUUGGGUGAGUUGGCGGUGGUCUCGGUGAGUUGGUGGAAAAGAACUUGAUAAGAACCGUGAAAUUGAAUAAUAAUGAGAAUGAAUUGUAAUGAAUUUAAAGAUAUGAAAAAAUUGAAGAAAAGUUAUACCUUUUUCUUUUCUUGGAUUUGAAAUUUUUUAGCGUCCGACCUCUUUUUUUUUUUUUUUUUUUUUUUUCUUUCAGUGUAGACAAUAGAUUGAGAAGGCCUUUUACAGAUUUAAACACUAUUCUGGAAAAAAAAAGGACCUUUUCUUAGAUACAUGUGUUCCAGUAGAAUUGGGAUACAUGUCUAUAUGCUGUAUCCCAGUUCGAUGUAAAACAACAUAUAGAGACAUGUGUUCCAAUUCCCAUCCUCACCUACAUUCAAGUAUUUGAAAAUAGGGAAAACUUGAUAAGAAAAUGUUAUAAAGUGUCGGUAAAAACUUACAAAGUGUAACAACUUGUGCUAUACCUGUAGGCUUUUGUAAUGACAUUAGUUGUGAUUCAGGUUGCCGUUGUAUCAUGCUCAUCUUCUAAAGUUAUAGUAACAAAAUAACAAAAUCUAUAGUUACAUAAUUUAAAAAAGCUGAAUGAAAAUCAAUAGAAAUUGAAGGAGCUAAACACUAUUCCUUAAAAUCCAAUUCUGUGUCAUAAAACAACUAAUCAAAAAGUAAAAAAACAACAGGGCAACACACAUUGACACACCCCAACCUAGAAUGUAAUUUGCUAUACUUGCAGGUGAACUAUAUGAACGUAUUUUUUUGAAAGUAGAGUUUCAUCCACUCGAAUAUGCAAUUCAUAGCAGCAGGUUCAUCCUCACCGUUUCACUAUUAUCUGCUUAAAGCGAAACAUUUUAAUUAUGGCCUUGGUUGCUUGCUUGACAUUUUUAGGUAUAUAAUUUGCUAUACUUUUGUUUUAGUUUCUUCAGUUAGAUGUAAUGUUUUCGAUUGAACCAAUAGUUCUGUAUAGCAAUUAAAUUUUGACUCUUUUGUGCAAUUUGGUUGAAAGUUGCUGGUUUUGAUUUGGCUUGAUCUUUCUGUUGCUGAGAAAUUGAGUGGAAGUUGUUAAGAUUUCGGUGGUUUUCAAGAAUUGCAUGCUUAGUGAUCAGUAAUCGUCUGGCUUUAUCGGGUAAGGAGAUAAAGCAAUUAAAUUUCAAAAUUUGGAUAUACAGUACGUAUUUUGAGCCAUCGUCAGAGUUAUUUUUCAUAAGAUUUGGUGAUCUUCUAGAGUAAAAAUAAAUUUUAUAUUAUGAGGUUAAUGUUACUUACGUAGGUUUAAAUUGCAACUCACAAUUUUGCAUACAGUGCUAUGUCGUGUUUGUUUUAGAAAAUGGUGGCGAACAUCUUGAAAGCUUUGUACUUCUGAACAUUGUUUGAUUUGUUAUUAAAUGAUUGCAUUACCGUUCCAGGUUACAGCUCCCCUUGCCGUGGCUGGAGCUGCAUAUAAGUUUGAGCACCAUGAUCUUCGCUGGUAUGGUUAUUUUUGUGUCUAUGCUCUAUCAUAGUGACACUGGAAUUGCUGACUUGGGAAUAUGCAUUUGUUGCAAGGGAAACAUCCUUUUAAGUCGAAAUGAACUUUGUAAUGUGUUCAAUAUGGUAGAGGAGGAUACAUUCUUUGCGAUGUUUUUCUAAUUCUUAGAGCUUCUUUUGCAUGCUUCUAUACUGGUAGGACUAUUGUUUCUUCAUCUUACGUGAUCCAAUCUGUACCAGAUUAUUUGAGGAUUCAACUUUAUUGCGUAUAAGUUCAUGAUUCAUAUUUCAUAUCAUCUGACAAAUGGUUUUAGCAGUAGUUGUACUCAUUAUGCUUGGUGUCCAGGUUUAGACUCCCCCUUUUCUUUUAUUUUGCUCUUCCUUUCUUUCAUUCCCUUUGCUUUCGAGGGGAGCAAACUAACCUUUUGUUUUUGGUUUUGUGGGGAAAUAGAUUUGAGGGUUGGAAAUGAAUCUAUUAGCAUCUCUCCACAAAUUGGAGAGGGAAAGGAACUUGAGGCCGGAUCCAGAAAUUGAUGCAUUUAUGAAGGUUUGUUAUUAUAAAUUAAUUUUGACACAAUAACAAAGAAAGAAUUGAAUUUUGCAUUUUGUAAUUGUUUUAGUUUAACUAAAGUUUUUAUUUUAUUUUGGUCCUUUUCAUUGCAGAGUUUGCAAAAAAGAAAGAAUUGAAUUUUUGAUUUUGUAAUUGUUUUAGUUUAACUAAAGUUUUAUUUUAUUUUGAUCCUUUUCAUUGCAGAAUUUGUAAUUGGGGUGUGUAUACGCGUGUUCUAUAUGCUGUCCUGAAACAUGUGAUCAUAUUUACCUUUUUGAUAAUGACAUGAUGCAAAAGAUAUCUACGGGAAAUCCAUGCGUUGCAAAUUCCCAUAUGAUUAGAGAGGUCGACUUAUCUUGGAGGUAAUGCUAAUCAAAAUAUGCCUAAUAUUUUAAUUUCUUUUCUUGGCGGGUAUUUUCUCUGAUAUUAGAGGCUAUUACUUGGUGCUCUACGCUGAAUGACCUAUUUUUGAGAAGGGCAUGGAUUACUUUCAGGCAUUUUCCAUAUACAAUUGGAUCAUGAUAAUAUUUUGAGGCAUUUCAAUUUAUUCCACAUGUGAAUAGUUUUGAAUUCAAAGUUUUGUUUUCGAUUUCAAUCUGGCAUAUGAUAUUUGAAUAGCAUAAGCAUUUUCAGUGUCAUUCUAAUUUUAUGAAAGGCAACUAAGUAAAACAAUAUUUUGUCAUUUUUCUUUAGGUAAAUAAAACAAUGUUUCGUAAUCUUUUGUAUGUAAGUACUAUUGUCGAUCCAAAGCCACAAGAAAUACUAUUCAAAAGGGACUCAAGAAAAGAGAUAUUGUCAUUGGAAUUGAAUAUGAAUGGUUUCUUAUAGCAUGCAUAUCCAUAUAUAGCAAGCAAAAUUUCACUUCAUUGGUUCUUAGGUGCUAGACCAUCUUUUUAGUUACUUUCUAUGGAAAUUAUUCAUUGCACUACUCCAAUUCUCAAGGACCUGCAUCAGGUCCUCUCCCUGAUCCUCCCAAUGAUUACGAUACAUAUUACUCAAAUGAAUCAAGCAAGAUCCAUAAGGUUGUAGUUGAUUAUGUUUCUUUUCGGUUUACUAACAAACACUCAUUCGGUUACUCCCUAAAUUUUAAUGGCAAUGGUGAUAACCUUCAUAUGAACAGAAAUUGCUUACAAAAUAUUCUUUUUUCAUAAGCGUUUGUUUUAUAUUACAUACAAGGAGGUUGAACGAUAUUUAAUAUCUUGGGAAAGUUUCAUCUGCCUGAUAUUUUGUUUCUUUACCUUGAAGUCCAUACGGUAUAUAGUUCUCAAAUGCUUGCUGACUAUUGUUACAUCUUCUCCGUGACGGUUUGUACAAUUGCAGGUGGAAUGUUUCUGCUGGUGCUGCUCGUCCAAACUCACAAGGAUCUUUUAAAUAUGGUGAAAUCACUGUCACAAAUGUCUAUGUUAUCCUCAAUAGACCUGCAGACACUACAAAAAAUAUGAGCAAUGCACACAUAAAUUAUUUGUGCCCUUUGAGGCCAAAGAGCACCAACAUAAGUGCCCAUAGACCAAUAGCAACAGUGCAGCAACUAUAUUUGUAUUUGUGCCCUCUAUGGGCGUCACCUAUGCUAAAAGGGCACAAUAGACUGUUUGGUGCUCAAAGAGGCAGACACAAAUAAAGGCCUUUUUGUGUCUAUGUUAUGACAAACUUGUCAGAUGACCUUCUCCAUCCAUGUUUGCACUAUUUUUGUUAUUGUGCCUAGUAGGUUCUCUUUAAAAAAAAUAGAAAUGUAAAAUUUUGAAAUAAAAUCAAAAAUUUAAAAUUUUCAUAAAAUCAAAUAUGGCAGUCUCAGCUGUAAAAAGCAAUCCAAUAGUAGAAAUGGAAUGUCUAUAAUGAAACUACAGAAAAAUUCCUCAUAAAGAACAUGUUUAAGUGUUCAAGACAAAAGACCAACAAAAUAAUGAGGUUUUCCUAUCAAUGCAUCCAUGCAUUCCUACAUAUAGCCACUCAUAACUGAUUUUACCUUUUUUCCCAGCUCGGUGGAUUAUGCAAUAACCUUCCUGGAAUCCAAACCAAAGGAAAAAUGAAAAAGGGAAAGGAUCACAUAUUUCCAAUGAUGUUUAACUACCCAACCAUCCAAUCAACAUUGAGAAUUCAUAGUAUCCUGAAAAUCGAUUUAAAAUAACCAAAUGUGAUCAGAGCUCGUAACACCAGCAUGCUUAUGUUUUCAAGCAUAUUCUAACUGCCGCUUGAAAUAUUUCAUGAUUGACAUAUUGGAAUCUGGUAGCCUGUUGUUACCAAUGUGUAGAAAGGGUAGCUCACCUUAAGUUCGACUCCGGACUCUAGACGUGAGCGCACACCCACAAUGGAGUGUUGAACGCUACAUUCUCGCAAGAAGCAACCAUGAGAAAUAAUUGCAUCCAUAAUCUGCAAUAUUCAUUUGGCCAUGAGAUCAGAAAAUUACAGCCAAUGUCACAUAGUAAUUUAAGCUUGCAAUCAUACCCUGCAUUUUUCAACUUUUGUAAGUGGCAAGAAUCUGGGAGAGGUGGAGAAAGUGUCUUUGGAUCGUUGAAUUCAAACUUCGUAGGCUGCACGAAAGAAAGAAUGUAAUCAGUAAUCGUUACCACAUAUGCACGUAGAGAAGAAAAAAAUCUAAUCGAAGAGCAGGAAUAUUCGUUCAUCAGAUACACACUGAUUAUAUAGUCAUCAGAAGCCAAAACAAAUAUAGUCGAAUCAGAACACAAUCAGUCCAAAAUUACACCUAAAAAGAGUUAAUUAAAAUCAAUACCUACAAAUUCCAGAUCAGCCAUAUCAAAGAUUCAUAUUCCUCACUCCGGGUUGUAAAAUUAACUUCUAGGUAUGAGAUAACACAUUAGUUCAGUUCAUGACCUGAAUCAAUGAAAUAUGUAAGUAUGCAUAUUAUUUAGGGUAAAAGUGAGCUGCUUACUUUAAUCACAUACCUAGUAAUGAGGAAACACAGAGAUGCCAAAUGAAGGAAAUGAGGAGAGAGUGAGGCGUGAAGAUUGAGGAAAGUGUUUUGUUUAAAACAUUAUUUUAAACAAAGGGCACAAAAAAUCUACCUUUAUUUUAAAUAUAUUUUUUUUGAAAUCAAGUACUAUAUUCAUUUCAUGGUAGAACAACGUACAUGGAAUGAGUGCUAACAAUAGGUCUCGAUAAAAACCUUCUUGGGAUAUAAACCCAAAUGAAUUAUUUUAAAUAUAUUAAAUUAUAGGACAUAAUAACAAUUACAGUGUCAUUGCAAAUUAAUAAAAAAUUUCCAUUGUUGACAUUAAAGCCACCAAAGAAGAACACAAAAAAAAAACAUAUAUAAAAUUCAAAUACCUGAAGAAAGCCACAUCAAAUGUGCGAUUUGGAGCAAAAUGAGGAGUUGAGUAGGAACUAGGCACCACCCAUUCAGAAUUUGUGUUUGUAGUUAUGAUUCCUCUGCCCAGAUGUGCAUGCUUGGAUUAGAACUUUUCUUUGUGGGUGAAGGGGAAGUAUGAAAGCAUUUUUUAAUUUGUUUUCUUGUUUCUUUGUGGGUGAAACGGAAGUAUGAAAGCACUUUUCUUUGUGGAUUAGGACUUUUCUUCUGCCCAGAUGUGCAAGCAUUUUUUAUAUUUUCUUUUAUUUUACUGGUAUAUAUCGUGUCAUAAGGCUUGCGUUGCUACACUAUGAAUUCACUGAAUUGUGCGGUAUGAACCAGACGGGAAAUAUAAUUAUAAACCAAAAAAUAUAUAAUGUUGGGAGUAUCGAUAUCAUGGGCCAAUUAGAAAGAAAACAUUAUUAUAUUGUAAUAUUACAUAAGUUGAUAAAAGGACCAAACGAGUUCAACAUAGCAUAAGAUAUUUAUAUUUUCACACACCAGCAAAAUAUGACAUAAUACAAAAUAUAUUAGUUGUCCUCGUCGUCACUACUUAAAAUCUCAACGGUAACAUUAUGCAUAUUUCCUGAGUUCAUUUGUGGGAGAGACGGGCAUGUAGGACGAAUUUGUGCUUGAUAAGUGUGGUUCUUCAAUAAUAACGACAAAACUAGUAGACUCUUAAGUUGUUGUUUCAGUAGAAACCAAAUUGAUAGGGUAUUGUUCUGUCCUACCCGGGUAUGCCCAUGCUGGCAACACACGUCCUUGAGGUGCACGUACGCAUCCGUUACUGGAGGGUGAUGCGUAUUCAAGGCGACCAUCAGCAACAGUAGUAAGAAUGUACUGAUUAUCGAUAGAACAAGUUAUGCACCCAACAUUAACAGGUUGUCGUGGACGUUGAGCUGGAGGAUUUGUUGUGGAAUUUGUUGUUGUAAUAUUUGAAGCAAUAGACGAAUGUGAUGCUGGAUAUUCGGUUCCAAUUCUAACUCUGCGACGUUGCUUGCCCCCCAUUCUUAAUGAUGUAGAACUUGAUCAAAUUCAAAAGAAACACAAGUGUAUGAAGCAACCUUCUAAUUUUCCAUAGACAAGUUAGUAAGGGAGUGUGGACAUUUUAUACUAAAAUAAAGGCACAAAUCAAUAAUUGUGCCAACAUAUUCUUUUACUAUAAAGUGAUUUAUUAUUUAUUAAUAUUUACUGGACACAAUUUCGAACAUUUGUGUCAUAAAAAAUAAUUUUUAAUUACUAAGAUAUAUUGUCUAUCUAAAGACCCAAUGGGACGUACAGUGAUUUAUUAUUUAUUAAUAUUUACUAGACACAAUAUCUAAGAUUUGUGUCAAAAAAAGGAAUUUAUAAUUAGGGGUGUGAUAUCUACACACCCUUUUUUACUUCUCUUACACCUUUUUGGUUUUCGGCCGUCGGAUCAAAUGAAUUAAAGAAAAUCAACGGACAGAAUUAACAAAGGGUGUGUGAGAAGUAAAAAAAUAUGUGUAGAUAGUACACCCUUAUAAUUAUUAACUCAUUUGUAUAUCUGAAAACCUAUUAACUUUUGCACGGAGACCGAUGACCCUAAGGGCACAAUUGUUGGUUAUGUUUCAUUUCAGGAAGGACUUUUAAUACAGUAAAAAAAAUAAACACUUACGAUAAUGUCAAAAACCAUAUCACCAAGUAUCAAAACAAACCUACUAACAAUCUAACAAGCAGUUCAAAAAGAUACGAAUCUAACAAACAUUCAUUGCAUAUGGAAAUGAUCCAUUGUAAAUCUAAAACAUGCGACUAAAUACUAAGGUCUAGUGGUAUUCUUAUUUACUUGUAAGUGACAGAUCUGAGGCUCGGUUGUCGUCAAAAACGAUUUUGAACAGUAUUGCUAACAUAUUUUGAGGCUAUAACAUUGCACAGUAAUAAACAGCUCCAUACCAUUAUUUACCUUAAUUUUAUAAAUUUAAUUUUUUUGGUCUGCUAGAGGUCAAGACAAAUGAAAAAACACAUAAAGUGUUGCUGACAAACAAUUUUUAUAGACAAAAAAAAAAAUUGUGCCCAUCUUCAGUAAAAAAGUUGUCAUCUAGCCCCACUCAGCACGGUUUCCGUGCCCAUUAUCGUUUUGUGUCUUCUUUUUUUAACAUUGGGCACAAUAGAUGGUGCCCUCUAUGGAAUGAGAAAUGUUUAAGCUUUUUAGUGGUCAAAUACACACAACCUUCUUAAUUGUGACCUUUGUUUUGUACCAAAAACUCAUUUUUCUUGUAGUGAAAACUUAUAAAUGGGAAGUGGCGCACUACCCUCAAUGGUAUUUCAUAUAUGCCACCUUCAACGCCCCUGAAGCUUGCCCAACAGUUCAACAUUUCGGGGGUUUACAAGCUUGAUUUCCCGAAUAAACUGAUGGAGAGACCUGCCAAAGUAGACACAUCUUUGAUUAAUGGUGCUUUCAAAGGUUUCAUGGAAGUCAUCUUUCAGAACAAUGACACCACUGUUCAGAAUUACCAUUUGAUGGCUAUGCAUUUUUUGUUGUCGGGUGGGCUUUUGAGUUUUGAAAUCAUUAUCUUCCAAGUUGUAAAAAGACGCCUUUUCAUUCUUUCUUAAUAUAAGCUUUCAUUACAGCUUCAAUUUCACAUUGUUUGUCACUGGAUUUGCUAAUAUAAGUUUUUAGUGAGAUAAUCUUACUGGUGAAUUGUUAAAAGGUAGGAAAAAUAAACUAAAAUUCAUACGCAUUUUCUAUGGUAUGGGGUGUCCGAGAGAAGGGGUUUCAGGGAUUAGGUUUGGGUGGGGUCUCAAGGAUUAGGUUUGGGGUUUUGUUUGUGCGAUUUGUAGAGAGAUGAGGGUGUUCGAGAUAGAAUUCAGGGGAUUUGUUUUAGGUUUUCUGCGAUUUAUAGAUACAAAGAGAUGGGACUAGGGUGAGAGAGAGAUGGGAGGAUUUUUUUGUGAGGGUUAAAGCGAAAAGGGAGGUAUGGUAUGGGUUGUUGCGUACAUAACUCAACAUUCUCCAUUUUUUUUAAUUUUUUUUUUUAUAUAUUUGCUUUAGCUUUAUUUGAGAGAUCAUUGUUGUGUACUAUAGUUGCUGGAAUCGAUCUGUCUGGUUCUGUGCAGGUUUUCAUUUAUAGAUUGAUUGAUAGGCCUUUGUGUCCAACUAUGUUCAACGGCUUCUACCAUGGAACUCAUAUACUCUCUUGGGUACGUUCUAUAUAGUUUCAACUGCAUAUAUGUAUAUGGCUUUAUAUUUGUUAGUUCAAUAAAUUGUAAGCCUUCAUUUUAAAAUUAUCACUUUAGUCUAAAAGGAGUGAGAAAUGAAGUUAGUCAUAAUAUGUGUCGUAGUGUCAUCAAAAUUUGUCACAAUAGUGAUACUGAGUAAAUAUUAUAUUUAUGAAACAAUGUUGGAUUUGUUGGAUUUCUUUUCUUUUUUGUUUACCGUGGAUUCUCUUAGUCUUUUUUUAUGUAAUUUUUGGUGGUUUUACAGACCAUGAGUGAACUGCAUGCCACUUAUGUUUCUUAUGCAAACAAACAAUAUUUUUUUAGAAUACAACUUUUGUGAAUAAGAGCAUUUAAGUUCAUCCAUUUGAUUGUACAAUGGCUCUUGAUGUUAGCUGAAUUGAAUGUAAGGGAAAAUCAAACUGCUUUGCUUGGUUCACCCAUCUCUUGGUUAUUUAAAUUCUUUAGAGAUGCCUAUAUUGAUUUGUGAAAUGUGUGUUAUCUGCAUUGGUACAUUUUAGGUGGUGACUCCAUUCAUAUCGCCUUUAUAGUGCAUCUUUUUGUGCAAAUUAUUUACCAUUCUGCCAUGCCGCCUCUGAGAUAGUGAUAGAGAGAGAGGGAAAAUAAGAUGGAGGAGUAAGGAUCGCUCGGUAAGGGUUUCAAGGAUGGGAGGUCAUGCCGAUAGACAUAGAAAUAGAGAUAGAGAUAUAGGGAGAGGGAUAGGAAGAGAUGGAGAUAGAGACAGAGUGAUAGAGAGAGGGAGAGGGAGAGGGAGGAGUGGGGAUCUCAUCGCCAUUGCUGCACAUCCUCGAUUUCAUGAGUGGGAGAGGGGGGACAGUCAGAGAAAAGCAUGGGGGACGUAGGGAUUUGAGGGAGAGGGGUAGGGAUCAUGGCUAGGGGUCUGGGUUUGUCCCUUUGGGCCGUUUCCGACAGCACCAUUGUGCUCAAACACUCUCUCUCGCAGUGGAACUCUCUCCUCCCCUUACUCAAUCCUCUGCUUCUUCUUUGAUUCAUGGUUGAUCGAUUUAUAAAAAACCUUCAAGGAUAAAUUUGGGGUGGGAUUUGGGUUUUCUCUGCAUUGCUUAAAUUUUGCAUUUUUUUUUUUUGGAUUUCAAUUAAGAAAUGAAUAAAUUUGGGGGUUUCUGGUUUUAUGUUUUGUUGUUUAUAUGCUGGAAUUACAGGAUUUACUUGCAUCUUUACUAAUAAUUGGUUGUAAAAAUAUUUUCAUCAAAAGCGCUUUCAAUCAUUUUAAAAGUACAUCUAAACGAGCUCUUAGUCUGUUAAUUACACAUAUAAUUGGUAGUAGUGGUUUCAGCCAAAUCUUUGUCGUCUACAUUAGUUUCUAGACAAAUCACUACCAACUUUUUUUUUCUGAAAAUCUCAAACCAAAUAAAAAAAAAUUCCAAACUGAUAAUACCGAAAUUUUCAGGAUCCAUACCCGAACUGAUCACGAACUUUUUGGUACGGGAAUCAGGAUUACAUAUUCAUGGUUUGGGAAUCUCGAAGUGAACCGAAUAUAUAUAUAUAUAUUGAUCGUAUGCAUGUUGAAUGUUAAAUUUAAUUAGUUUGAUAGUAGACUAAUAUUAGAAAUAAAAGUAUGAUAUUAAAUAGUUUGGAACUUUGGAACGUCAAUUUGACUUGGUAUGAAAUUUAGAAUUGGUAAGAGGUAAAAAAAAGUAAAUUCAAUUGAUUAAAAUUAGACAAAAAAAUUUUAUGUCAAAAGCCCAAAUUUUAUGACACUCCCCGACCUAGGAAGGUCGAAGCAUGCAGGCCGUCAUCGUGAGAUGACGUAACCAUAAGGGUAAAUGAUGUGAAAAAGUGAAUAAACUUAAAACUAAUUAGAACUAAUUACACCAAACAAUGAAAGAGUGCGCAGUCGUGGGAAGAACGCACUACAAUUAUUCAAAGCAUAAUAAACAAUAAGACUACAAUAAGGUAGUCAAAGUAGCUAAAGUACACUUAUUACACAACAAUGGAUAAGUUCAUACGUCUAAAAAGAGGAUAAUGUAAAAACUGUCGAAGGUUCCUCGAACGCCAUAAAGAAUGCAGCUAUCUAGGUCCUGUAGGGGCAAAAAACAAAGUUGAGUAGGUCAGCAAAACAACGAUUGUAAGAAAAUCCUUUAUUUUCGAAUAUAGUUUCCUUAAAACAUACUACAUAUGUAUGUAAACAAUAAUACAACAACAAUAUAACCAGAAAUAUGCCAAGUCAUGAUAUAUCAAUGCCACAGUAAUAUAAUCAUGUGAUAAUCAAGUAUAACUAAGUGCUCAUCCAUCUAAGUUGACACACGAGUUCGAACAGAUAAUCUCUGACAUGAACAAGACUGGGUGUAAUCAAUACGCUCUAGUACUAAGAUCAUGUGAAGGCUGGUGCAGAAACACGAUCACAUACAAGUAGGAUUUGCCUAAUGCAACUACUCGACAAGACUGGUGCCUAACUUGGAUCCAAGGCGAGCGAACGGUGCAGAUAUGAACAUACACAUGAAGGACUGGCCCUGGCCCUGGGGCGAGUAUUAACACCAGGUGCAGCAAGAUGAGCAUGUACAAAUAUGUAUGAAUGACAUGACAAUAAUAUCUCAACCAUAUAACAGCAUUUAUCAAAAUUAAUAUCACAAUAACGAAUACUUAGCAAUAUAAGCGUAAAAGUGAAGUAACUAUGCAUUUAGGGAAACUAUAAAUAUGUUGACACGCCUUGAUCCCGAUAUUCCUCGAAUACUAGGGUAGGUAAGUGUUGGUCGACACUCGAAGGUGACGCAAGCCAUUUAUGAUGCAUGAGUAUUAAAUAUGAAUAAGAUAAUAGAAAUUUAAUUAUAAUUAUUAUGCAAAUAAGGAACAAGUUCACAGCAUACACUCAUCUAGAACACUAAAAGGAAAGUAAUAUAAAAUUGAAUGAAUAAAAGAAUGGGUCCUACACCGAGAUGACUCGAAGAUGCCGAUGCGAAAGUGCCUUGAUACAAGGAUUGUAUGACUCGAUUCUAAGUCCUGAUGGGGGCGCAAAACAAACAUGAGUGAACCAAGUUGAUAUACAUAUAUAAUAAAAUAAUUAUCAACAUACUAACCCCCAAAGUUUUAUAAAAACUCAAUAGUGAUAUAUGUAAUAGGUUUCCGAAAACUCUAGCUUGCCAUAAAACCUUUCAUAAAACAUAUCUCGUAUAUAAUGUGUUAACUAGUGGUAUCAUAAUCGCCCGAAGGCAGAACAUAGAACUCUUCCUUCAUAAGUAUCAAUCCCUCGCAGGCCACUACAGCACCCAACCCGAAGGUCAAUAAUAGUAUCAAUCGCCCGAAGGCUCCUACAACACCCAACCCGAAGGUCAAUAUAAGUUUUAAUCACCCAAAGGCUCCUACAUCACCCAACCCGAAGGUCAAUAAUAGGAUUGCUAGAUACGCACAAAACCACUUAAAAUAAUCUUUCCAAACAUAGGUAUAUAUAUCUCAAAAGCAACUUUAUAGUAUAAAGUCAUCCAUCAUCUAUACUAUAAAGAAGUUUGUAAAAACAUUUUCUAAAUAGUAUAUCGUCAUCCAUCAGAUACCCUACAAGAACAUGGGUUCGAUAGAAAAAUAUGAUAUUCCAAAAUAAGCUCAGUAUAACAUGAUAAUCAAUUUCUCAUAAAACGUUCACAAAACGUAUUCAGUAAAUCAUGCUUUUCAUGUAUACAUUUCUACUAUUAAAACAAGCAUUUUAGAAGGGGUCUACUCACUGAUACUUCACCAUCGAAGAGCCACGCAAACUAGCGAAGAUGAAAACGCCCCAAAUAAUUACCCCUAAGCAUAUAAAGGGUCCAAUUAAUAAAACUCCACUUAAACGAUUUAAUUUGGGAAAACGGAUGUCAAAAAACGGAUUCAAGACGUCGAAUAACCCUAAGAAGGGUCCUGGGUAAAUUUCGUGUAAGUCAACAGGGGCAAGAAUAUUCUUGGAAGGUUCCAGCCGAAUCUGGGUUGGUAGGUUUGGGCCCAAAGGCCUGGGUUUUAACACGGGUUAGGCUUAAAAAGGUUUCUGGGCUGGGUUAAGGCUUAAAGGGUUUUGGGUAAUUAGUAAACGGGGCUAAAGCCUGAUGCACGGGCUUAAAGCCUGAUGCACAGCCCAAGGGCCCGGGUUUGGUGGAUUAAAAGGUUGAGCUUUAAAUGACACGGGUUUGGGAAGCUUAGGAUUGGGCUAGCCCAAAGAUCUUUGGGGUUAAUAGGUUGUGGGAUUAGGCUGCCCAAAAAGGCUAGUUUCCUUGGCCAUGAGUCGGCUGGUUUCGCCGAAGAAGAAAGUCAGAGCUUCGAAGCUCCGGUCAACCCACAACUCAGCAAAAACCCAUCAACCCUUAUACCAAAAUAAAGCUACGAAUGAAAGGGUUCGAAAUAUACUUUCUUCGUGGCCAACUGUGGCUGGAAGGUGGUCGGAAAAAGCCUGCAAACCUUUGGUCUUCGUCGAAAUUUGGGAAAGCAUUCCCCGAGUUAAAUUACGAUCAAACCUUACUCAAAACACCAUAAAUUGAUGCCACAUGACAUAAGAAUAAGAUAUAUGAGUCUACUGAUGCUUAACUCAUGUCGGAAAGACGAGACAUUCGUCGGAGAAGGAAAUUGCACAGUAAGGGUGUUACUGUGCGAAGCAGAAAGGAGAGAAGCUGGUGGUGGGUUGAGGUUUCGUUAGAGAGGCAAGGUGAUGUGUUGGUGAUACGGUGGUGGUUCAGGUGGGUUUCUCCAGGAAGAGUGUGAGUAAAGUCCAAGAGAGAGCUCGGGAGAGUUUGAGAGGAAGAGAGAAAGUGAGGUAUGAGAGAUAGGGAUUCGAAGGUGAGAGAGAGAAGAAGAUGAUGAAGAGAGAUUGGGGCCGGGGGACACAAUGGGUGGGGCCCUUGGGCUUACAAAUUAAGACCUAAAAACCAUUUUUUAAAAAUAAAACGGGGGUGCGGUUUUACAUAUGUAUAGGUAUAAAAUAAACUGCCCACUCACAAAUACGUCGCUAGGUCGUAGCCCCUGAGCCUAGCUUGGCGCCGUAUGUCCUCGGGAUACGUUUCCCCAAUAUGUGAAAUAACUAUAAUAGAAUUAAUUAAAGCACAUAUACGGAAACUUAAAUAAAACCCCCAUAGUUUGCUCAAACCUAGGGUAUAAAUACAUAAAACCCUAAUAGUUUGCUCACAUUUUUGGACACCGCACGCGCCUUCACGCGUAACACGUGCUGUCCGUGUGCCUAACGACGUUAGGAAUAUUCUAUUAAAACCUAACAGAAGUUAACAGCGUUACCUGACACUGUUAGAAUAUUCCGUCAACUUUGACUGAAUAUUCUGUCGUCUUCUCCGGUCACCGUUGUCUAGUUCGCCGGAAACUGAAAAAUUUUCAAACUUGUAUAACCUUUUCAUUUCUUAACCAUUUUUCACGAAAUUUAUUGAGAAAUGAAGCUUAUGAAGUGUAGAAUCACGUUAUACCUCUUUGGAGUCCAAAAAGUCGACGGAAGUGGCCAGAAAAUGCCUCGAAAGAUCCGGCCAAAACUGAGCUCCUCAAAACUUGUCUGUUUCAACGUCAACGUUCUUCCAAAUCUAGUCUAGGACCUUUAGAGAGUUGCGUAGAAGCCUUCCCAAGUCCCAGAAACUUGUAACUCGGUCAAAAACACGAUGAACUCAAAUCACUGAGUUCGGACCUUUCGAGUUCGACGUCGAAAACUCGUCCAUUGAGGGUUUGGUUGGUAUGGCUGUGCUUGUAGAGGCGAAAUGAACAUGAGGUGGUUUUCAGGUUUGAUCUGCGAUGUUUGAGGCUUAUUCAAGUCAGUUGCAUAGAUGAAAGAGCUUCGGGAAGGAGAAAGAGAUAGUAACCUUUUUCUAAUUUCUGAUUGGGUGUCGUGUAGAGGGAAAUGAUGGGAUUGGUGAGAGUGGAGAAAUGGGAAAGCACGAAUCCAAUUUAAAAAGAGAAAUAGGAUAGGGUUUUCAGAUUUUGCACAGAGGAAAGUGCUAAAAAAAUCUAUCCAUUUGACUGAUACAGUGUUCCCAACAUUGAUCAAUUAGUACACCCGCAUGUACAAUUCUAUUCGUUUUCUUCGUACUUUGACAGAGCGUAACUUUAACGUUACAAGUUCGAUUCAAGCCUUAUGCGUGCACACGCGUUCGUAUCAACUAGUACUAUUUAAUUACGAUAGUGAGAAAAAUAAUUAAAAGCGAAUAAACACGUCCACACCACUUGCCAUUAAGGGCAUAAUAGUAAAUUCAUAUACUCAGGGAGAAAUUACAUAGAAAAUUAGGGAUGGGUCGUCACAUUUUAGCCCACAACUCAAAAAUAUAAAACUUAAACCCAAAAUCCCAAAACUCAAAAUAUAGUCCCAAUACAUCCCGAAAUAUCGAAAAUAUUUCGAGAAUCUCGAAAAAUUGGGAAUACCAAAAUUUCGAUUUUUUACUGUUCUUCAAGUUUCCGUCCCAAAAAUUUUUGAUAUAAAUUUCGAAAUACCAUUUUCAGUUUGAAAUCCCAUACCAAAAUCUAAUUCAUAUUUUCGGAUCCGGUCUCUCCCUUUUGAACGAGCACAAAUAUCUAGUGAGUCACAAGUGAAUAAGAGUUUGUUUAUUUUAUUUUUUAAAAAAGAAGAUAGAUAUAUCAAGAAAUUUGGCUGACCCUAUAAGAAAAGGGGUAUUUUAAUUUAAAAUUAGUUUUUUUUACUUUAUACAUAAAAUUGUGAAUAAAUUCGAAUUUGGGUUAAACUCAGAGACAACAAAAUCAGUGAGUGCAGGAGAACCGGCCCAGAUCCGCGGCCGAGUAAAAAUCCCCGAGAGCUCCGACGCAACACGCAGCAGCAGCGAUGGGGGAGGAGAAGCGGCACCAGAUGAUGCAGAACCUGUUCGGCGAUCAAUCCGAAGAGGAGGAAGAAGAGGUCGAUUCCGAGCACGAGUCCAAUCCCCAGCCCAAUUCUGUACGAUCCUCUAAUUUCACGUUUCCUUUUGGUUCAGAUUCCAAUUGCAUGUUUUGGGAACGUUUAGGGUUUCAGUUCUGCUAUAUUCUUAGCUGAAGGAAGAUAUAGGUUGUGCUUUUGUUAAUGGCGGUGGAAUAAGGAUGAAAGAAUGUAUCUUGGGGAUUUUAUUGGUUGUGGUUGUUUCUAGGGUUUGGAAUUGUGUAGGUUUGCUAUUUGUUGUGGAAGAAUGAAGGAUUCAGAAUUUAAGCUGGAAGAUAACAGUUGUAACUUAUAUUGUAUUACUUGCUAAUCCGCGACAGUCGGAAUGUAAGCUACGCGCUGAAGGGAAUCCCGAAGCUUUUAUGUCUUUAGAGGCGAAAAUGUGUGGAAGGUUGAACCUGAGGAAAUUUUUUAUCAUAAGGAACUUGGGAGCGUUUAAAGAUUGUAUAUCUUAUACAUGAUGCGGUCAUAGUAAGUUAUUAGGGAAACAUGUAGUUAGCUCUAAUGUCUCGUAAUUAUGCUUAUGUCGAAAUGAUCCUUUAGUACUUUUGACAACUACAUCGCUAGCAGAGUGAUUUGCUUAAACAUCUAUGUAAUGGUUUUGUUUCCAGGAUGAAGGAGAGGGCGCUUUGGAGGCUGAGGGUGAAGGUGAAGUAGAGGGCCAGGGGGAGGUAGAAGCAGAGAGUGAUGGUGAGCAGCCUAAUGCUGAUCCUGAUCCCGGAGAAAGUGAGGGCGAAAGAGAACAGAGUUCCCAAGAAGUAGAUAUUGGUGAUCAUAGAGAAGAAAGUGAAGGAAAAUAUACAGAUACUGAUGAAAAAGAAGAGUUAACCAGCCGGAGACGAAAUGUGAUUGAAAGUGGGUCUGAGAGGUCUAUGGAAAACCAUUACCCUGACAUUGAAGAUGAGGUUAAUCAGGCCAGAAGUCCAAGGUAAAUCUCUAUCUCCAUCUGUCCAUCUCUCUAUCUCUCUCUCACACACACACUCUUGUCCAGUAUCUGAAGCAACAUUUUUCAUUCUCGUAUAUCUUAUUGGAUUUUUAUGGGAGUGGGGCACAUGAUGGUUUGUUCACCAGUCAUUUUUAUUUUUGUAUCCAAAGAGAAGAACAUAAAGAUGACUGUAUGCUUCUUGCACAUAGACUUGUUUAGAGCAAGCAACUACCUAGUUUGACUUUAAGGACAAUUCUCUUGAUUGCCAACAGUAGAUCCCCUGAGGAGGAAGAGGACCCUAAUAACAUCGCACACUCUGCUGUUCGUAAUGUAUUUGGUGACUCUGAUGAAGAAGAAGAAGAAGAGGAGACAGAUUAUGCUGUUCGGAAUGACAUCCAGCAUGAAUCAAAUGUUAGUACCAAUUUGGAAAGCAAUAUCCUUAAAUAUUUCUUUUGUAAAUGCUGUCAGUCGGUCAUGGUGUUUAAAAUGAUGUGAUGUCAUUUCCUGUCUUAGAGAUCACCAAUGGAGGAGGAAGGCAGCUAUGGAAAGAGUCCAAGACUAGAGGAUGUAAUGCCUGAUGAAGAUGCUAGGUAUGAUUCAGAAGAGGACAAUAUUGAGGCUAAACCUAGAGAUAAACCGGUUGGCCCCCCAUUGGAGCUAGAGAUUCCACUACGUCCACCUCCUGCUCGUCCAGAAAAGGUUUGAGUUCUUGUUCUACAUGGUGGAAUUUCUUUUUAAAAUAUUAUUUGUUUGUUUUGUGUAUCAGCUUCUAAGACCAUAUAAAAUUGAUGCAAUUGUGUAAGAUGACAUAUAAAUUGGUGGUGAUAGAGUUUAAGAUUGCUGUUGUAUUAACAGUAACAAACUGUAGUUAAUUUUGGGUAUAAAGAAUAAUCCCAUAUGCGUAUGUUGAAGAGAUAUAAUGCACUAAUUGUUGGGAACAUGGACUAGUUUGGUUCCAAAUGACUUCCAGAAAAUAGCUUGUCAGUUUUAUUGAUGGAAACAAUAAGUUUCUGACUGCAAUCAGAUAAAAUACGUAUUUUACGUACCAUUUAUUUUCACGGACCUCAAAAGUACGAUGCGAAUGCACUGUGCUAUUUCUUCAAACGGUUGGAUGUGUUACAGGAGGAUUUGCCAACAUAUACUGUCAUCAAUGAAGUAAUGGAUGUGUAAGCUAUGAUAUGGCUACCUAGUAGAAACAUCGUCUACGUACCUUGGGAUGAUCUAUUUGUCCAUCCUCAUUUAUUUCAUUUGGGCAUCGUUUGGGAUACUUUAUGAAUGAUUUGAGUCUGUUUACCAUCAGAUAUAAAAUAGUUAGAAGAAAAAUUAUAUCAAUAUUCAAAUUUUGUCCUGAUGUAGAUGAACAUGAUCAAAGUUUCAAAUAUCAUGGGCAUUGACCCCAAACCGUUUGAUCCAAAGACAUAUGUGGAAGAGGAUACAUUUGUGACGGAUGAAUCAGGAUCUAAGAAGCGUAUACGUUUGGAGAACAACAUUGUGCGCUGGAGGAGAGUUAGAAAUCCAGAUGGCACGACAACUGUAAGUCAUCAUCUUUAUUAUAUUCUGUUAUAUAUAUUCGUGCAUGUGUGCAUUGCGAUGGAUUGCUGCAGACUUUAUUUGUCAUUAUUGUGCCAAAGAUCCAUGCUUGCAUAUAUUUGUCAUUGAAUUGCAGUGGGUGGACUUUGUGUUUGUGUACUUUUUUCCUUGUCUGCAAAGUGUUACUUAUGACACUGAGUUGGAUCAAUGUUGUAGUGGGUUAUCCAUUUGAGUUUACCACAACACCCAUUUUACAUUGCAUUGCUUACAAAUAUAUGCACUCAGUGCUUCAACUAUUAUUUCCUAUGAUUGUAGAGUGAAAGCAAUGCACGCUUUGUGAGAUGGUCUGAUGGCAGUUUGCAGCUAUUAAUUGGGAAUGAAGUUCUAGAUAUAUCUGUGCAAGAAGCACAGCAUGAUCAAGCGCACCUAUUUCUCAGGCAUGAAAAGGUAAAAUUCCAUAUUGUUGGUGUUGUGGAAUCCAUUAAUAUAUACAUAACGGUCUGUUUCCAUCAUAAAUCUGGAAAAACAGCAAAAAAAAGUGGUUGAAAAGAAUUCUCAACUGUCUACUAAGCAGCUAAAAAAGCUCGGUCGUCACAAAAAAUUGUUCAUAAAUACCUGUGCAUUGUUCUUACAGGGAAUCCUCCAGUCACAAGGAAAGGUGCUGAAGAAGAUGAGGUUUAUGCCAUCGUCCUUGACAUCAAAUUCACAUCGUUUGCUGACUGCUCUGGUUGAUUCUCGACAUAAAAAAGUAUACAAGGUCAAGAACUGCGUUACUGACAUCGAUCCUGAGAGGGAAAAGGAGGAGAAAGAAAGGGUAAGUUGUUGCACAAGCUAGUUGUAUCUGUUUAUUAUUAUUAUUAUUAUUAUUAUUAUUAUUUCUUCAUGGAACAUGUAGAUUGAUUUUUGUUUGGUUCUGUAGGCUGAAAGUCAAAAUAUCAGAGCUAAUUUACUUCUUAAUCGGAAGAAGGAGAAGGUGAGCCGCAAGUAUACAACAACUGGGGACAGGAGGCGCCAACUUUCACCUGGUUUCUUGGAAGAUGCUCUUGAUGAGGUAUGGUCUUGCUAUUGGGGUAGGAGUGGAGGGUGGGCACGGUGGAAUUUCCUUUGUAUUCUCUCUAUUUUCAUGGUUUUGUUCCUUUACAGCAUAAUCAAAUGCUAAGACAUAUAGCUUUCCUGUUUAUGACAUUUGAAGAAAAUUCUCAUUUUCACUUUUUUAUGGGUGUGGAAGCCUCUAUAGUCAUUUUCUAAUACAUGCUGGAAUUUUGUAUUUAUUACCUAUGUAUUAAGUGUCUUAGCUGAUCACUUCUGAUUUUCAGGAUGAAGAACCAAAUUAUCAUGACUCUCGUCGUUCUCGCCGCCAUAUGGAGGAGGAUUUUGAAAUGGAAGCUCGAAGAGAGAAACGCAUUUUGAAUGCUAAGAAGGUCCUACAACUUGAUUCUUACAUUUUCCACAUAAUUUUAUUGUAUCUUUUCUGGCAAAAGUGUUCACACCUGGAAUUUUAGUCACAGGGACCUAAAGAUAUCCCUCGCAAGUCAUCCUUGCCAACUGCCAAUUCAUAUCGGCGUUCAAUGGGUUUGUCAGACGAGUCUGAGUAUGAGACUGAUGGGGAAGAUGAGGAGCCUCCACGUAAGAUGGCUGAGGAUUCAGAGCCAGAGUAUGAAGAUUCGGAAGAAGAAGAUGAGGAAGAGCAUCAUGAUGCCGAGGUUAAUGAUGCAUCAGAGGAGGAGGCUGAGGUAUGUCCCUCUUCUUUUUAGUAAAAAUGUUUAUAUAUAUUGUUGAUCAUGUGGAUCUGUUAUGUUGUUACCAUAGACGCAAGUGUUUCUCGUAGUUUGGUCUAUCAUAUGUCAAAAAUUUAUGUUGAUAGGAAUCAUAGUGACAUAUCACUAAGAUAUAAAAUAGAAGAAUAUGGCACCAUUAAUCUUGCUUCCGAGUUGGAUUUUCCCCUUGACAAUUACCAUUCCGUAUUUUUAAGUGGAUAUCUACUUGCUGUUAAUUCUUCAAACGGGGGGAAAAGCUUCUUUGGUUCUUUAGUUGUGACUAUGUGUGGAAUUAGUUUGCCUAUAAUGUCGUUUGACACGAGGGCAAAUUUUAUGGUCUUGGUCAACUCUUCUUCAACCUAUAUACUUCUACUUUUACACCUGUUUCUCGGUAUAUUUGUAGGCGCCCAAGCAAAAGGUUAAGGACUCUGGACACAAGCGCAAGGCAGUCGAGUCAGAUGAAGACUCUCCUCCUAGGAAGGCCGCACCACAUCGCAGAAUGGCUGUUGUUUAUGAUAGUGAUGAGGAAUAAAACCUUCGAUUGGAUGAUUCCAGUGAGUACUUCGCCACUGUUAAGACGUCAUGAAUUUUUUGGCUCUUUUAACUAUCUCACAUUACUUUGCAGAGAACUCGGCUAGGCUGAGCCUGGUCAUCCCGGGUGGAUGAUCCAGAGACGAAACCAAAAUGCCAUAGGUUCAUAGAUGAUGUGAAUUGUUCAUCGCAAAUUGGGUCCUCGGAGCCAAACUUGUAGUUGGUCGGAUUUAUGUUUCUUCAAAUGUUUGCUUUGGUGUCGGAACUUUGUUUUGUGUCUCUGUGUAUAUAGCAACAAGUAGUUUGCUAAAUUGGCAAAAUUGAUGUGAAUUCGGGAGAUCUGUCAAACAGUUUUUGCCCCUUUGAAAUGAAUAAUCUGAUUAUAUAUAGCAAAUUGCUUCAUGAAAAAAGUAGAGGUGAAUUAUUAUGGCCGUGAAAUUUCCAAUUAUGUUUUGCUUUAAGCCUUGCCCAUCAAGUAGACCCAUUGAGGCCAUCUCCAACCGAUCUAGUCAAAGGGUUAUAUGGUUAAAAAUAGCUCAGAAUCGUAUUUAACUGAGGGCUAGACCAAAGGGCUUGUGGGUCUCAUCGGGCCCAAACCCCCAAAUCAUGCCAGUGGACUGGCCAUUUUUAGCCAACCAGCCCUCUAAUGCCAGAAUGUUAAGCUUGACAUUUUGUCAGCCCUUCAGCUCUAGAAUGUCAAGCUUGACAUUUGUCAGCCCUCCAGCUUAGUCCAUUUGAAUGCCAAGGGCUACCUAAUGUCAUGCUGCCGUUAGGUUACCAUUGAAAUUUGAUUUUUUUUUUUUGGACAAAUUAAAAAAAAAUUAAUUUUUUUUUCUUAUAAAUACCUACACCAUUCCUACAUUGAAAGUUGAAGAUAAAAAAUGUCACGUAGAUAAGAAUCCUAUAUAAAAUUUGCACAACCAAUUACAACUCGACACGUGGCACUCGAAAUCCUAUCCGAAAAAUUAUUAAGAUUACAUAAGGAUAAGAUAUAUAGAGAGUUACUCACUUUAGCGACACGUAUCACUCGAAAUCAUAUCCAAAAAAUUAUUAAGAUUAUAUAAAGAUAAGAAAUAUAGAGAGUUACUCACAUUACCAACCUAUGUUCCUUGAAAUCCUAUCCAAAAAAUUAUUGAGAUUAUAAAAAGAUAAGAAAUCCAGAGGCUUAUUCAUUUUGUGACAAGUGACGCUCAAAAUAUGUCCGAAAACCUUAUUUUAAUAGGGUAGUUUAAUUUAAUUAACCAUAUUAAUUUAAUUAAAAUAAUAAAUUAUGUUUGACUAUGACCUUUAGCCCCUUCAGUUAGAGAAAGCUUUUUGUCAAAGGGCUAUGUUUGCCCUAUGACCAUUUGGCCCCUUAGGUGGGAGAUGGAAUAAAAUAUGGUCUAACACUAGUCAUUAUAAUAUAAUUUCUUGUAAAGCUAUAGAGCUAAAGGGAGCCCUUUGUCGCUCCUUCGGUUGGAGAUAGCCUGAGAAAAAUGGACAUUUGGACUACGUCAUUUGUAACACAUACGUAAUGCAGCAUAACAAAAAAACAUAAAUAUUUUUUGUAUUUUGAUUUCAUUACUUUUUUUUUUUUGGUUCACUAUUGAACAGUAACAUUGAGACCGAAAAAUUUGAUUGGCCGGUCAUUAGAAAAUUUGUUCAAGUGGUCGCAAGAAAAAGUUGGCCGGUCGAAAGCGUGAUAGGAUUGUCAAUCAUGUAAGUAUUUUGAAUUAUAGUAGUAAGUAUAUAAUUGUUCUGGUUAACUUUUUUUAUUGGUACCGAAACUAAAAAUAUGAUACUUAGCCUAAAUUUCCUUAAAAUUAGUAUUUGAAUUAAACAUCUCUAAAAGUAUUUUAUAUUAGUAAACACUUUUUUUUAAUAGGACGCUAUCGUAAUGUUAGUAAACAACAAAACAUGCCAUUAGUUUAGCUUUAUUUUGUUCCAACCACUAAUCGUUAGAGUAUGUUUGACACGCCCAGACUGAGGUCAAGGUAUGAUGGCCGUCACGUGAGAGUGACGUGCACAAUGCGGAAGCGAUGAAGAUAGAAAAUAUACGAAUAAUUUAAAAACCAGAUUACUAGAGUGCACUAAACAGAAAGUAAUAGGAGUUAGUUACAACAGUAAACACUCCUAAUCAGAGCAUAAAGUCUAGGCGCAGUCCAGUAGGACAAGUACUAGUUAUAUAGUACCAGGAAUGUCCUAUUAUUAUUUAGAUAAGUUAGAACAGCCGACGUCCUUGAGCCACCAAUAACAAGCUUACUUAAAACCUGGAGGGGCGCAAAACAGAAAACGUGAGUGGGCAAAAACAAAUAUUUUACAAAAUCAUUUCAUUUAUCAAUAUACUAACCCAUCGCUGUAAAACAUGUAUAAUUUUCCCAGAAUCAAAAUAUAAGCAUACAUAUAUAUAUAUAUAUAUAUAUAUAUAUCUAAAAUCAUAUUAAUUCAGUUCAUGCUUCACAUAAUCAUAUUCAUAUGUAUGCCAUGCCAGAAUAUAACAAAGUAAACAAUCCAGGUAAGAAUAAUUUCAUAGAAAUAUGAUAUGCUAGCCGGAACUCCUGUGGUAGUCUGUACGGCUAGAUUCAUAGCUCAAAAUUAAUCUAGCUGGAGUCACUACUAUGAUCUAUACGGCAAUAUACUGCACAUAAGUCGGAACCACUGAAAAUGGGUCUGUACGACAAGAUCAGGUGAAAUAUAAUUAUGCUCAAUUCUAUUCUCUCAUAAUAGCCGGGCGAUAAAUCGCUAGUCACCUACGAGUCAGAACCAUAAUUAAGGUUUAUACGACAAGACUGUGCACUUAAGUUGGAUCUAAUAUGAGCAUAUAGUGCGGAAGGUGACGUAAAUAAACAGGCAUGUACUUCAUAUCUCUGACUAAUCACAAUCACCCUAGGUGUAGUUUUAUGAGCUCAACAUUACUCAAUCACAUAUCACAUCAUCAAUGAUUCACAUGACCAAACAUAACUUACCUGAACUCACAUGUGCCUCCACAACACCACGUUUUUAUAUAUAUAUAUAUAUAUGCAACCAUGCAAUGCAUAUUCAAAAUAUAGAAGCAUUUGACAUAUUAUUUCAAAGCAUACUUUCUUUAAAAUGCAUUUUUGGAAAAUAUAUCAAGUAUAUAAAUAUAUACUGAAAACAAAAGCCCACUCACUGUACGUCGACGGGUCGUAACCCCCGAGUCGCCCGUGGAUACGCUCGUCCUCGGAAUAAGUCUCACCUAUAUACGAAUUAACUAUAAAAACGUUAUUUUAAAGCACAUAGACAAAACUAGCUAAUAACUUUUCAUACAUUGCUCAAAAUGGGUAUAUGAAUAUACCACAGUAAUCUACACAAUUCCACGAACCUACCCAAAUUUUCAAAAUAAUUUUUUUACCCCGCAUGCGCCGCCACGCGCCGGCCAAGGCACUACAAUACGUGCUGCCACGUGCAGAGGAUCCUGACGGAUCCUUCAACGGCGUCAGGAAUAUUCUGUUAAAUCCUAACGGUAACCGUCAAUCAUAACUGACGGCGUGAGAAUAUUCUGUCAUACUUGACGGAAUAUUCCUUCACCUCCUACCUCUAGCUCCGACGACCAUCGCCGACGCCGGAAACUGGGUAAAACUUCAAACUCACUAUUCUCCUUCGUUUCUUCACCAUUUUUCAUGCAAUUGGUACCAAAAUGAAGUUAAUAACAUGUAGAAUCACGUUAUACUACUUUUAAGCCUUGAAUUCCACUAGAAUCUACCUGAAGAAGCUCAAUAAUCCUGUUGACUUUGAAAAGCUUCGAUCUCAGCCCUUCGACGUCCAAACUCUUCCAACGAACUACCUCAAGGCUCGUGAUGACCUCCUUAAGCCUUCUAUGUGCUUAGAAUUCCCUGAAAUGCAAGGUUUUACGUGUGCAUGAACAGUGCACAAAAUCGGGGUUAGUGUUUCUCGGGUUUUCGACGCAUUCCCAUCCAAAAAAGGGUAUCAAUAGACUCAGGAGGUUACAAUGAACAAGAACCUUACCUUUAAAGCCUCGAUCUGUGCUCGAGGGUGAGCUUUGUGUCUUGUCCGUACGUAAGGGAAAGAGAGAGAGAGUCUGAGAGAGAUGAGAGGAUACGGGAGAGGAGAGAGAGUGAGUAUUGUGUGUGUGAGUUCCACGUGGUUACUAACCAACCAAGGAAAAAUAUCAAGUCUCCAAAACAAGUCAACACCCACACCACAACUUUAACGUUCAAAGGUUAGAACUGUCAUUUCACACUGUCAGAAAUCAAUUAUUCGGGACGAGCUGUGACAAUGUUUACUUUAAUAGUAUAGUUAGUAAAAACAUGAAACAAAAUAAUCUAAAUUGCCUAUUAGAAAUUUUUUUUUUGUCAAACAUCAAAGAGUGAAAAGACAAUUUGGUCUUUGAUCACAAAAAUAAAAUUAUUGGCAGGAAUGUAAUCUCACACAAACAGAAUUUUAUUGGUUUUUUUUUUCUCAAACCUUACCUACAUAUCAUCAUAGCAUCUCUAAUUAAAAAAUAAACAUAAAAAACUAACAUUUCUCUAUUUUUUUGGGGAAAUUUUUUGAAAUGUCAUAUUGACACACCCCGUCCCGAAGGAGGGCGUGCUGGCCGUCACGUGAGAGUGACGUAACCAUUUACACAGUUCGGAAGCUUUAAAAAAAAAAUUCCAAUUACUAAGAUAACACACCCGAGGGUGAGUCCUACUUUUGUGAAUUCUGUCAGAACACCGUUGGAUUCCUCGUGGCCACCAAAGCUCUGCUAACUUGAACCUGGAGGGGCGCAAAACAAAAUUGAGUGGGUCAGUAAAACAAAGUUUUUCGAAGACUUUUCAUUUAAAACAUUUAUAACCCCUCACCGUAAAACCUGUAUACUUUCCCAGAAAAUAGCAUAUAUAUAACAUAUAUAUAAGCAAAAAGCUCAAAUCUCAAACCUUUAACACUUUUCAGAAAUAUAUAUAUAUAUAUAUAUAGAUAUAUAACCAUAUGAAAUCUCAAAGCUUGAAUCCCAAAUCUUUAACAUUUUUCAAGAAAAACAUGCCAUGCCAUAAAUCAAAAUAUAAAUCAGGUGAAAUAAGGAAUCAAUCGGAGACCCUGCAGUUGGUCCUAUACGAUUAAUUCAAUAGCUCAAUAUCUCACUAAGCCGGAGUCACCACAGUGACCUAUACGGCCCUACUCUGCACAUCACUCGGAACUACGUAAGGUAGUCUAUACGAUGAAAGGUGUAAAAUACGCUCUAGUGCUUCUCUCAUCAUAUCAUCAGCGCGCAUAUCUAAGGUCACCCACCAGUCGGAACCCCUCUAAUGGUCUGUACGACUGGCAUGUCGGAACCCUCACAUGGUCUGUACGACAUCCACCUACUUGGAUCCAAGGCGAGCGUGCGGUGUGGUGAAUAAUAUAAGCACUAACACCUAGGGUGCAGAUUAUGAGCUCAAACAUCUCAACAACAACAAUUCAAUGAAUAAACGAACUCACCUGACUUACCUGUGCCUCCACAGCACCAUGCAACAUGUAUGCAUCAUAUAUAUCAAUCAUAUAACUCAUAUGAAAUUCACAUUUUCCAAAUAAUUCUAUGCAUGGCAUUUUCAAAACAUAAUUUCGCAUAAAAGCAUUUUUUUCUGGGAAAAACAAUAGUAUAUAGGUAAUACGAAAACAAAACUGCCCACUCACCUGGAGUUCGCCCACAACUCCCUAGCACCGUACAUCAAGGCGUCAUGACGAUUAGCGCCUAGAACAACAAUCAAAUCCAACCUCAGAAAUUCUGCCGAUAGAAUACAUAACUUAUAUAAGACACGUCACUACGUAGUUCGAUCCGGAUGAUCUGCAAUUCAGAUUUCAAAUCCGUAACUUCCAGAGGUCCACAAUAUACCUCUAGGACAACAUCCUAAAAUUUCAUUACCAUCCAACGGUCGGAUCUUCGUCAAUUUCCAAAACUAAGUGACGGUUAACAUUCUAUUUUAUGAACUUACAACUUCAAUUCCAGAAGAUCCGUAAAUCGGAUUCCCAAUCCGUAAGUUCCUAUAAUCCUCAAAUAUUACGUAUUACAACGUAUCAAAGUUUGAUGACGAUCCAACGGUCGGAUCGUCAAUUCACAUUUUCAUCUAACCACGAAUCGUAACCAACUUAGGUUCAAUUAUUCAAUUUACGUCCAUCAAUUAUCAAAACAGAACCUAGAACCUUAAUCACAAGCUAAUAAUGACAUUGGCGGGCCAUUGGCCACGUGCCGCCGCGCGGGCCGCCGCGGGUGGCGGUUGGCCGCCCCCGGCUCGCCGGAAAAUUCAACUAUUUCCAAAAAAUUACCAAAAUUUGCAGAUUUGAAGAUCUCAAUGAGUAGAACAACUUUCAUACCUGAGACCAAGGCCAAUUUGGCCUGGAAGUGCUUCAAUUUCACCAAAACCGUGAAGAACCCUAGAAUUGGGUGUUUCCAAUUCGACCUUCAAACUUGUUCCAACGCCUCAAUUACCUCUUGGGCUUUGUUUUAGGUCCUAAGGGAAUGCUAAUGGUGUUAGUAAUUGAAAGAAAACAUUUCAAAAUUUGGAGAAUUUAAACAAAAGGGUCGCGGCACCCGUAGGGGUGUUCUUCGCGAAAUCACAACGAAAUUCAAUGAUUCUUGGGGGUGAAACGUGAAGAGGGAAGGCCUAGAUGAUGAUUAGGAGUGGUACCUUGAUUCAAUUCGUCGGAAAAUUGGACGAAAAUGGCGAAAACCCGCCGAUUGGAAGUCGCGGGUCGCGCGGGUAUACGGGUUGGGGAAAACCCAUUUCUUCCUUCUCUCCUCCGCUUCUCGCCCCUCUCUCCUUUCCUCCUUUCCUUCCUCUAGUUGGUCAGCUUCUCCCUCUCUCUUCUCCCCAUUCGGUCUCUCCUCCUUCUUCUCCGAUUGGGCAGCUUUGCCCAAUCCCUCUUCUUUUCUAUUUUCUUCUCACGCACACACACACACACAAAACUUUCUCUCAUCCCAACCAUCCAUUUCAUUCAUCAUUAAAUCUGGGCCGUCCAUUUUCAUAAAAGAAUUUCUAUAUUUUACUAAAAUUAUAAUUCCUUAAAAUCCCAACUUCAAACUUUAAUAACUUCUUCGAUAUAACUUCAAAUCACGAACCGUCUGCGCCCACGCGUCCGUAACGACGAGUACUACGGGGAUAUGUCAAGAAAACAAAUCUUAGAUGGCACGACAUGGUGAUUAACCUCGAAUAAUGCACGUACCUUCAAAGGGCAUUUUUGUAAAAUCCUUUAUUAAAACUUUAAAAAUUCUUAAAAUUAGGGACGGGCUGUCACAAUCUACCCACCUUACAGAAAUUUCGUCCUCGAAAUUUACACAAUCUUUACAAUCCGUCAAUAUCCAUGAAACAGCCCGAAACACAUCUCUCUCAUUCGAUUCUUUGAUUUCUAAGUAGCUUCUUCCACUGAAAGAUUCCUCCAUAAACUUUCACCAAACUCAUAGUCUUAUUUCUCAGUACAUCAUCUUUCUAAUACAAGAUAGGCACUGGCUCCUCAUCAUACGUCAAAUCCAUAUUGACUUCCAAAGGUUGAGAAGGUAUCACUCGUGAAGGAUAUGAGGUUUAAUGUCGAAGUAUCGAAACAUAAAACAUAUCAUGCCCUUUCAUCGGCUCUGGAGGCAACUCAGCCCGUACGUAACUUCACUGACUCGUUCAAUGAUCACAGAUGGUCUGACGUAUCUAGGACUUACUUGUUUUUUCUUUUUUUAAAACGAAUCAUACUUUUCCAAGGUGAUAAUUUCAAAAUCAUUCGAUCACCUACAUAUACAUCCGGUCAGUGGCAUGUUUGUCUGCUAAGCUCUUCAGCCGAUCCUGGCCCACUUCCAGGUUAGACUUAAUUACUUGAAUAUUCCGAAUAGUCUCAUCCACUAACUCAGGGCCUUGAAUACUAUCCGUCCCCAAUUCUAACAAUUUCGAAACACAAGACAUAGCUUUACACGGCCUUAUGGCGUUACUCUAGGGAACAAACUGAAGGGACCAACAUACCCAAGAAGUUUAACAGAUCCCAAAUCUCUUUUUCCAUAAAACAAAUAAAUAACUGUUGCGCUUAUCUGGAAAGGUUGAUGUUCUCAUACUGAAGUAACAUACGUUGACGUCACCAGCCGAUCAAUUAUUAUUCAAAUUCCAACCUAACUAUUUUGUAUACGAGGAAGCUUGUCCACGAAAUCCAUAGUAAUAUUCUCCCAUUUCCACCGUGGAAUGGGAAAUGACUACAUUAUUCCAAAAGACUUAUUUCUUUCUGCUUUAACCUGAUGACUGAUGAUACGCCUACUAACAUACUUCGCCAUUCCUCUUUUCAUACCCGUCAAUAGUACAUGAACGAAUGGUAUGAUAAAUCUUAGUACUUUUGGGAUGCAUUGUAGAAGUGGAAUAAUGUACAUCGUCAAAAUUGCUUUCUUUAAUUCCACACCAUUAGGCAUAAACACUUUGUUCUUUUGCGUAGGCUUGCCAUCUGAUUCUCUAACUCUAAGGUCUUUCUUUUUCCCGUUAUUCCUUGCUUUAAAUAAAUUCUUGAAUUUCUUCGUCAAACGCUCGAGUAUCGAGUACGAUCUACCAAAUGGGUCCAACUUAGAAAUUAGCAAGUAAGGCUUCUUCUCGAUUUUUGAUACUCAACUUUACUCCAGUAGAUUUCAAAUCCACAAGAAGAUGAACAUAGCAAGCGUACCAAGCAUUAAUUCUCACUGGGGUCUUCCUACUAAAUGCAUCAGCCACAACAUUAGCUUGACCACCCUCGUCACACAAUCAUAAUCACUAAGCAACUCAUUCCACCUUUGUUGCCUAAGAUUAAGAUACCUCUGAAUAAACAGAUAUUGGGUACUCUUUUGAUUUGUAACAAUCAUGCACUUUUCUUCCCAUAAAGACAAUGUCUCCAAAUUCUCAAAGCAAAGAUGAUAGCUGCUAAUUCCAAAUUAUAAUUAGGGUAAUUCAUCUUAUGAGAUCCCAAUGGCCAUGAAGCAUAGGCAAUCAUCCUACCAUGUUGCAUCAACACGCAUCCAAGUACAUUCAAAGAAGUAUUAUUAUAGACCACAUAAUUACCACUAUCGUCUGGGAGUGCGAAAACAGAUGCAUGAGUGAGGGAAUACUUUACUUGCUGAAGCUCUACUCACAAUUUUUUUUUUUUAUCCCACUCAAACUUAACCUCUUUUCUCAUCAAUCUCGCCAAGGGCGAAGCAAUAAUUAAAAUCUUGGACGAACUAUCGAUAAUAUCCUGCUAAUCCGAGAAAACUCUGAACCUCAGUCACAGUUCGCAAUUGUUCCAAAUUCUCAAUCGUUGCUACUCUUUUAAGAAUCCAUUUGAAUACCUUAAGUAGAUAUAAUUAAUUUAUCCAACAUUAGCAUUUGCUAAACUUAGCAUACAUCAACGUUCCCUCAAUCUUUGCAACACCAACUUUAAAUAUCUAGCAUGCACUGCUCUAAUCUUAUCAAUCUCGUCAAUGGCAAACAAUAACAACCCGGUCCAGAUAUCACUGGAAUACUUCCUUCAGCAAACUCAUAAAAGUAGCAGGUGCAUUCGUCACUCCGUAUGGCCUCCCAACUUGAAAUGACCAUAACGAGUCCUGGAUUCAGUCUUAUGAACAUCCCCACUGUUAAUCUUCAACUAAUAUCAUUCAGACCUCAAGUCAAUCUCAGAAAGUACCCAGGCGCCUCAGAGCUGAUCAAAUAAUCAUCAAUACACAACAAUGGAUAACAGCUCUCAAUCGUUACCCGAUUCAAUUACAUAAUAUCAAUGCCUAGCCUUAAUGUCCAUUUUCUUCCUCACAAAUAACCCGGAGCUUUUCCAAUGUGAUAUAAUAAGUUGAAUGGAACUUUUAACUCAACCUGAACCAAUCUCUAACAUAGGAUUUGUACCUAAAAACAAUUCAAUAAUAAAACCCACAUCUCUGCCUGGCGGCAAUCUAGGUAAGGCAUCUGGGAAUACACCAAGAAAAUGUCUAACCAUCUUUACAUCUUCCAUACUAUUAGGAUCAACAUCAUUUAGCACCAUAUGAACUCAAUAUCUUGGCAGCCUUUUGAUAACAAUCUUCUUUGCUCUCUCAACAGGAAUAAUGGCAUAACUCACUCCACUUUACUUACCCCCAAAAGUAACCUCUGGUCAUCCAGGUCAACAAAAAAUUAACUGAUUCCCCAUAGCAAUCUAGCUUGACACAAUUAUACAUUUCCUCUACCAGAGUCAUCUUGUCUCAGAAAUCUGGGAUCACUAGUAAAUCUAUCACUUCGCCUCUGACCAGUGGCAGUAAAACUUAAGCUGGGAAAAUUAGCUCUAAUUUCACUUCCUUUGAAGCUCUGAGUCCUCCGAGGUCUUUGAUAUGACGAAUCUUUCUUUAACUUUAUCGUCUUAUUCUGAUUCUCAUUCCUUUCUUAUUCCUCUUUACUCUCGCUGAUCAUAUUCUCAAAGUCUUCAAAGCCCAACAGCAUCCCGUAAACUCUUGGUAAAAAGUACAAUGGAUAGUGAUCGCCAAAGAACGCAACUUCUUCUUAUCAUCCAGCCAAAAACGACAUAACACCUCGACCGAAUUAACAACAUCAUCAGAAUGGAAAUAAGGCAAGUCUGUAAGCUUUCUAUAAUAUUCAUCCGUCGUCAUUUUCCUCGUCUCACAUUUGCAAUUUCUUGUUUACUACCAUCACAAUAUGCCGGGGGGAAUAAACUUUUCUUAAACAAUUCUUUAAACAACUUCCAAACAGUUGUCCUUCCGAUAUUGUCGGAUAACAUUCCUAUCUCCAUCAAAAUGCAGAUUCAUCACUCAAAAACUAGGUAAUCAUCUCGACCUACCUAUCGGGAGGAAAAUUCCCUUAACCUUGCAUAAUCUGAAACGCCUUUUCCCAAUUGAUUAAGCCAUCAAUCUGCUCCCUUAGGUCCUUAGGGAUUCAAAUUUAACUUAUAACCAGUCUCAAAAGGUCCCUUCAGAUAAUAGACUGAAUCACAAUGGCAAUAGUUUCCCCCCAAACUACUAUAUCAGGGAAAUUAGGCUCAUCCGAACUACGUGGCUCGCUACGAGGCGGUAUAGUUCUGACAGAAGACACUAGGAAAUUAUCAAGAUGUCCAGAAUUGCAACCUAGGCUCUGAUACCAACUGACACACCCCGUCCCGAAGGAGGGCGUGCUGGCCGUCACGUGAGAGUGACGUAACCAUUUACACAGUUCGGAAGCUUUAAAAAAAAAUUCCAAUUACUAAGAUAACACACCCGAGGGUGAGUCCUACUUUUGUGAAUUCUGUCAGAACACCGUUGGAUUCCUCGUGGCCACCAAAGCUCUGCUAACUUGAACCUGGAGGGGCGCAAAACAAAAUUGAGUGGGUCAGUAAAACAAAGUUUUUCGAAGACUUUUCAUUUAAAACAUUUAUAACCCCUCACCGUAAAACCUGUAUACUUUCCCAGAAAAUAGCAUAUAUAUAACAUAUAUAUAAGCAAAAAGCUCAAAUCUCAAACCUUUAACACUUUUCAGAAAUAUAUAUAUAUAUAUAUAUAUAGAUAUAUAACCAUAUGAAAUCUCAAAGCUUGAAUCCCAAAUCUUUAACAUUUUUCAAGAAAAACAUGCCAUGCCAUAAAUCAAAAUAUAAAUCAGGUGAAAUAAGGAAUCAAUCGGAGACCCUGCAGUUGGUCCUAUACGAUUAAUUCAAUAGCUCAAUAUCUCACUAAGCCGGAGUCACCACAGUGACCUAUACGGCCCUACUCUGCACAUCACUCGGAACUACGUAAGGUAGUCUAUACGAUGAAAGGUGUAAAAUACGCUCUAGUGCUUCUCUCAUCAUAUCAUCAGCGCGCAUAUCUAAGGUCACCCACCAGUCGGAACCCCCUCUAAUGGUCUGUACGACUGGCAUGUCGGAACCCUCACAUGGUCUGUACGACAUCCACCUACUUGGAUCCAAGGCGAGCGUGCGGUGUGGUGAAUAAUAUAAGCACUAACACCUAGGGUGCAGAUUAUGAGCUCAAACAUCUCAACAACAACAAUUCAAUGAAUAAACGAACUCACCUGACUUACCUGUGCCUCCACAGCACCAUGCAACAUGUAUGCAUCAUAUAUCAAUCAUAUAACUCAUAUGAAAUUCACAUUUUCCAAAUAAUUCUAUGCAUGGCAUUUUCAAAACAUAAUUUCGCAUAAAAGCAUUUUUUCUGGGAAAAACAAUAGUAUAUAGGUAAUACGAAAACAAAACUGCCCACUCACCUGGAGUUCGCCCACAACUCCCUAGCACCGUACAUCAAGGCGUCAUGACGAUUAGCGCCUAGAACAACAAUCAAAUCCAACCUCAGAAAUUCUGCCGAUAGAAUACAUAACUUAUAUAAGACACGUCACUACGUAGUUCGAUCCGGAUGAUCUGCAAUUCAGAUUUUCAAAUCCGUAACUUCCAGAGGUCCACAAUAUACCUCUAGGACAACAUCCUAAAAUUUCAUUACCAUCCAACGGUCGGAUCUUCGUCAAUUUCCAAAACUAAGUGACGGUUAACAUUCUAUUUUAUGAACUUACAACUUCAAUUCCAGAAGAUCCGUAAAUCGGAUUCCCAAUCCGUAAGUUCCUAUAAUCCUCAAAUAUUACGUAUUACAACGUAUCAAAGUUUGAUGACGAUCCAACGGUCGGAUCGUCAAUUCACAUUUUCAUCUAACCACGAAUCGUAACCAACUUAGGUUCAAUUAUUCAAUUUACGUCCAUCAAUUAUCAAAACAGAACCUAGAACCUUAAUCACAAGCUAAUAAUGACAUUGGCGGGCCAUUGGCCACGCGCCGCCGCGCGGGCCGCCGCGGGUGGCGGUUGGCCGCCCCCGGCUCGCCGGAAAAUUCAACUAUUUCCAAAAAUUACCAAAAUUUGCAGAUUUGAAGAUCUCAAUGAGUAGAACAACUUUCAUACCUGAGACCAAGGCCAAUUUGGCCUGGAAGUGCUUCAAUUUCACCAAAACCGUGAAGAACCCUAGAAUUGGGUGUUUCCAAUUCGACCUUCAAACUUGUUCCAACGCCUCAAUUACCUCUUGGGCUUUGUUUUAGGUCCUAAGGGAAUGCUAAUGGUGUUAGUAAUUGAAAGAAAACAUUUCAAAAUUUGGAGAAUUUAAACAAAAGGGUCGCGGCACCCGUAGGGGUGUUCUUCGCGAAAUCACAACGAAAUUCAAUGAUUCUUGGGGUGAAACGUGAAGAGGGAAGGCCUAGAUGAUGAUUAGGAGUGGUACCUUGAUUCAAUUCGUCGGAAAAUUGGACGAAAAUGGCGAAAACCCGCCGAUUGGAAGUCGCGGGUCGCGCGGGUAUACGGGUUGGGGAAAACCCAUUUCUUCCUUCUCUCCUCCGCUUCUCGCCCUCUCUCCUUUCCUCCUUUCCUUCCUCUAGUUGGUCAGCUUCUCCCUCUCUCUUCUCCCCAUUCGGUCUCUCCUCCUUCUUCUCCGAUUGGGCAGCUUUGCCCAAUCCCUCUUCUUUUCUGUUUUCUUCUCACGCACACACACACACACAAAACUUUCUCUCAUCCCAACCAUCCAUUUCAUUCAUCAUUAAAUCUGGGCCGUCCAUUUUCAUAAAAGAAUUUCUAUAUUUUACUAAAAUUAUAAUUCCUUAAAAUCCCAACUUCAAACUUUAAUAACUUCUUCGAUAUAACUCCAAAUCACGAACCGUCUGCGCCCACGCGUCCGUAACGACGAGUACUACGGGGAUAUGUCAAGAAAACAAAUCUUAGAUGGCACGACAUGGUGAUUAACCUCGAAUAAUGCACGUACCUUCAAAGGGCAUUUUUGUAAAAUCCUUUAUUAAAACUUUAAAAAUUCUUAAAAUUAGGGACGGGCUGUCACACAUAUGAACUUGUUCAUAUUUUUCAAUUUGUCAUAUAAACUAAAAUUUUAAACAAUUUGUCAUACCAAUUUUACAAAAUCAUUAGUUUGUCAUCUCACCCUAACUUUGUUAAGUUUUUCAUUAAAUAUAAGUCAUGUGCGAGCACUUGACUUGUGUUUAGGGUUAUUUAGGUCAUUUAACAUAUUUUUACAAGUUAUUUUAUUUUAUUUACUUUUAUUUAGUACAAACACUUAAAUUUUUUACUUUUCUUUAGCACAUGUGCAUCUACAACUCCAUUGAUGACACACAACGUCAACUUAUUUCUCAUUUAUACAGUUCGUAUGAAAUUAUGUCUUCGUGGCAUGCUAAAAUGCAAACUCCCAUUUGUGUAUCAUUACAUAUUUGAAACAGCUAGAAGAGAGUGCAUUGCAUGAUCAUUUCAUUACUAUCAUAUAAAAAAUAUUGUUCCAUGGCCUGCGAAACCCUACCGUUUUUUUGUUGAAUACAACUUAAUAAAAGGGAAGUAAGGUAUUAAAUGAUUGAAAUAACCCUAAACACAAGUCAUGUGUGAGACACAUGACUUAUAUUGAAUGGAAAACUUAACGGAGAUAGGGAAAGAUGACAAAUUAAUAAUUUCAAAAAGCUAAAUUACUUAAAGUUUUAGUUUAUAUGAUAAAUUGAAAAAUGUGUACAUGUUCAUGUGACAUUUCAAAAAUUUAUCUCUUUUUUAUUUUAUUUAGUGGGCUUCAUCUAGUUAAAAAUAAAAAAAAAUAAAAACUAAAGUAAUUCUCAAUUUACUACCUUAAAAUUUCUUGAUUUUCAACAUUACAUGUAUAAAAUUCUUUUCAUCUCAAUUUAGUAUUUAAAGUGAUAAUUCUAAAACACUUCCAUAUAUUCAUUAAACAAUACAUUAAAACAGCGAUUAACUUGUGAUUGGUGUCAUGAACAAUGACUAGGCAUCAGUGCGUCACUUGCCAAUCUGGAUUUACAUGGACAUUAAAAUAAUUAAAAAAUUGAUUAAUUAACAAAAAAUUGAAAAAAAAAGGGGCUGCGUAAUUAGAUACGUUGGGUCCCGCGGAACUUACUCGAUGAUACUUGAUACGUCCUAAGCCGACGUUUACAUUUUCAAAAAAAAAAAAAAAAACAAGAAAAAAAAAAGAGAACAUUCUGGAAGUUACGAAAAACGCCUUGGAAGCUUCCCGCUUCGUCUGGACUCUGGUAUGUUCUAGUUGCUUUCGUGUCGGCCAGUCGUUUCGUCGUCCUUAAAAUCUCUCCCACACUCUCCCAAGCAUCCAUCAGAAAAAAUCAGAACGUUUCGACUUCCCGUCUCUGUUUAUCUACAACCAACACAGACAGGCCAAAGCAAUCGAUCAACCAGAAGAAAUACCAAUUCAAAUUCUUCAAACGCAAUUGUAUAUAUUUACCCGCCAUUGUUGCAGAAAAGCUUCAGCUUCCUCCUUACAAGGUACGUCCAAGAUUUCUCUUUCUUUCUGUGAAUCUUUGAGUUUUUAGAGUUGCCUUGAGUUUUUAGAGUUGAUUUCAUAUGGGUUUUUGGGUUUUGAACGAAUUUAUAUUUGUUAGUUGCAUAGCACUGCAUUUCUUAAAUUUUGGAAAAAGAAACGAAGAGGUUGAUGAAUUUCGUGAACUGGGAAAAAUAUGAUCAGUGUUUCUAUGUUUUAUUUGUACGCUCUGUUUUCGCAUUUCAAUAUUGUUGAGUUGAAUUGAAAGGUACCCAGAUAGGGAGUUUUAAUUUGAAUUUGAAUUGCGUAGUUACCCAGAUGAAAAUCUGAAUUUCGUAAAUUGAGAAAAGUAUGAACAAUGAUUCUACGUGUUGCUAGGUUGAAUUCAAAAGAACCCAGAUAAAAUAAUUUAAUUUUUAGUUGAAAUGAAAGAAAUCCAGAUUGGAAGUUUUAAUUUUUAUUUGAAUUGGAAGUUACCCAGAUGAAAAGUUUGAAUUUUCAUUUUCUCACAUAUGAUGUUUUGCAGUGUUUGUUAGGUAUCAAUUAAUUGGUGAAGGAAAAUGAAUCCUGAUAGCUUUACUCACAAGACCAAUGAGACUCUUGCCGGAGCUCAUGGCCUGGCCAUGGAAUCCGGCCACGCUCAGAUCACGCCGCUCCAUCUUGCAACCGCGUUGGCAUCUGAUCCCAGCGGCAUUUUCAGCCAAGCCAUCGCCAAUGGCGCUGGCAAUCCCGAUGCUCCAAAGUCCGUAGAGAGGGUGUUCAACCAGGCCCUGAAGAAGCUUCCAUCUCAAUCACCUCCGCCGGACGAAAUCCCAGCCAGUUCAUCCCUCAUCAAAGUGAUUAGGAGAGCACAGAAAGCGCAGAAGACAAGAGGGGACACACACCUGGCCGUUGAUCAGUUGAUUCUCGGUCUGCUCGAGGAUUCCCAGAUUGGGGACUUGCUGAAGGAAGCCAGCGUUGCUACGGCCAAAGUGAAAUCUGAAGUCGAAAAGCUUCGUGGGAAGGAAGGGAAGAAGGUGGAGAGUGCUUCAGGGGAUACUACAUUUCAGGCAUUGAAGACUUAUGGACGGGACCUUGUUGAGCAGGCUGGGAAGCUUGACCCGGUUAUUGGCCGUGAUGAGGAGAUAAGGAGGGUGGUGAGGAUUCUUUCGAGGAGGACUAAGAACAAUCCGGUUCUGAUCGGAGAGCCGGGAGUUGGAAAAACUGCUGUGGUGGAAGGACUGGCUCAGAGGAUAGUCGGUGGUGAUGUCCCUAGUAAUCUGGCUGAUGUGAGGCUCAUUGCAUUGGAUAUGGGAGCUUUGGUGGCCGGGGCUAAGUAUCGAGGGGAGUUCGAGGAGCGGUUGAAGGCAGUUUUGAAGGAAGUGGAAGAGGCUGAGGGGAAGGUGAUUCUGUUUAUUGAUGAAAUUCACCUUGUUCUUGGCGCUGGAAGGACAGAGGGGUCUAUGGAUGCAGCCAACCUGUUCAAGCCAAUGCUCGCACGGGGGCAGCUGAGGUGCAUUGGCGCAACAACUCUUGAGGAGUACAGAAAAUAUGUGGAGAAGGAUGCUGCAUUUGAGAGAAGGUUCCAGCAGGUUUACGUGGCGGAGCCUAGUGUUCCGGACACAAUUAGCAUCCUUCGAGGACUGAAAGAGAGGUAUGAGGGUCACCACGGUGUUCGAAUUCUGGACAGAGCUCUUGUUGUUGCUGCACAGCUUUCUAGCCGGUACAUCACAGGUAUGAAUAAAAAAUAGCUAAUAAUUGUGGUCAAUUUUCUAUGUUUAGGGAUUGUGAAGCAUUAAUUUUGUGUAAAAUUACUUGGUUCUGAAGUUUUCCUUUUUCCUUUUGCUUUAUAGGGCGACAUCUCCCUGACAAGGCGAUUGAUCUAGUUGACGAAGCUUGUGCGAAUGUGAGAGUCCAACUUGACAGCCAGCCUGAAGAAAUUGAUAACCUCGAAAGGAAGAGGAUGCAGCUGGAAGUUGAGCUUCACGCACUUGAGAAAGAGAAGGACAAAGCUAGCAAAGCUCGUCUUGUCGAGGUGAUUACUUCAUCCAUAACUUAAUGAUUUGAGAACAUUUGUCUGAUGAAGUCGCAGAUAUUUUUUUCUAUUCAAUUUCUAGAUGGUUUUUGUUCUUACGUUGGUUGUUCUACCAUUUUAUUCUUAGGUGCGAAAAGAGCUCGAUGAACUGCGAGACAAGCUACAGCCGCUGGUGAUGAAGUAUAGAAAGGAGAAGGAAAGGGUUGAUGAGCUUCGAAAGCUUAAGCAGAAGCGUGAAGAGCUCUUGGUAGCGUUAGCAGAGGCCGAAAGAAGAUACGAUUUAGCUAGGGCCGCAGACUUGCGUUAUGGCGCUAUUCAGGAGGUGGAAACCACCAUUGCAAAACUUGAAGGUAGUACCGACGAGAACUUGAUUUUGACGGAGACGGUUGGACCAGAACAAAUUGCAGAGGUAGUAAGCCGUUGGACUGGCAUACCUGUCACGCGGCUUGGCCAGAAUGACAAAGAAAGGUUAAUUGGACUUGGGGAAAGGUUGCAUAAGAGAGUAGUGGGGCAAGAGAGGGCAGUUGAAGCUGUCGCCGAGGCGGUUUUAAGGUCAAGAGCGGGGCUAGGAAGGCCACAACAGCCUACCGGCUCCUUCCUGUUCUUGGGUCCAACUGGUGUUGGUAAAACUGAGCUUGCGAAGGCGCUUGCUGAACAACUUUUUGAUGACGAAAAUCUGAUCGUCAGAAUUGACAUGUCCGAGUAUAUGGAACAACAUUCCGUUUCGCGCUUAAUUGGCGCUCCCCCUGGGUAAGUGCAUUUGUAGUUUUCUUCACUCAAGCAUGUUUGUGAGCUCAGCUGCAGCAUUAUGAACUCCGACUCAUUCAUAUUUUACAGGUAUGUUGGUCACGAUGAAGGCGGGCAACUCACAGAGGCCGUGAGGCGGAGGCCUUACAGCGUUGUGUUGUUUGAUGAAGUGGAGAAGGCCCACACCGCCGUUUUCAACACUCUCCUCCAAGUCCUGGAUGAUGGAAGACUAACUGAUGGACAAGGCCGUACAGUUGAUUUCAGAAACACGGUGAUCAUCAUGACUUCGAAUUUGGGGGCAGAACAUCUCCUCUCCGGUUUGAUGGGCAAGUGUUCGAUGCAGGUUGCGCGUGAUCGAGUUAUGCAAGA